rnacentral:lncRNA from 1 species
UUUUGAUCAUCCUCCAACUUUAUUCUCAACCAACACUACAUAGGAGUAAUAUAUAUGAGAUACUCAUAAUUUAAACAUUUUAUUUGUGAGUUAGAGUACAUGAUUUUAAUAACUUGCUAUCCAAGCAUAGGAACCCGCUUAACAAAUCCGUUAUCAUCAACCCAAACCCAGACUCUGUCACAUAUGAGGUCAGGGAUAACUAAGAUAUCAUGCACGAUUCUAACUUCCCGGACACGAGGAUUCUCUUUCUUCAUAAUACUCGCUGCCACUUCUCCUUUUACUCCAACUAACUCAUCUUUCCUUACUUUCAUAUAAUUAACUACAAGUUAUAUAUAAACACAUUUCAAUAUUUGAUAAUAAGAUUAAUAACUCUUAUAUAUAUAUAUAUGUGUAUAUAUAUGUAUAUGUAUCAGUAUAUUUGAUAUUACUAACCUUUGCCAUGACAGUUAUCCAUUUUCAGCUACUAUCAACUCAGCUAUUCGGAAACAAUAUGUUUUUUGUUUUCUUCAAAAGCAACUCUACUGUUUGUGAAAUAGUUCGUUGUAAUAUCCGGGGUAUUUAUAGUGGUUUUUGGUGUCAAUCUUAUCCUUAUAGCUGGCUAGCAAUGCAUUUUUUUAAUUUUUUUAAUUUUUUUAAUUGUUUUUGUCAUUUUCAAUAUUCUAAUGUAAUUUACAAUAUAAUUAAAAUCAAGAUUGAAUACACUAACUAUUUGGUAACGUUGGAUUUUAUGCUAUAUCUUACAAAGGUCAAAGAUUUAAAACAUUGUUCAAAAUAAUGUUGGAAAAAAACAAUAACAUACCCUAAAAUAGUUUAUUUGUUUAUCCAUAUUUUUUAGUAUUACUAAGGGUAUGUCCUUACCUUUGGAUAAAGAAUUAAUUAUUUUUUGGGUGUAUGACUGUCCGUCCUAACAACUACCGCUCUCAGGAAUCAAACCUUUAACAUUUUGAUUAAUUUGGACUAUGAAGGUUUGUGCCAAAUAUGCAUUACAUGACUCAUAAUUAAUUUACAUAAACUACUCAUUUUUUAUAUGAUAAAUAUGUUAUUGUGUUUUAUUCUUUUUGAAAUUUAUAAUGUUGUCAAUUAUUAUUAUUCUAUGCAUAAAUAUGUUCAAUAUUUUAUUAAUCGUAAUAAUCAUUGUUUUAUAUUUAUUAUAUAAUUGGUGUGUGAUUGAAAUAAGACUCUCACUUAGAGUAAAAAAUAUAAAACCGUUUAACGGAAAGUAUAUCAUACUCUCUCACAAUUUAUAUGAAACGAUUUUUGUUCAAAAUUUGUUAUAAAAAUAUUAUUUAAUUAAAUAUUUAUGGUAGGUAAUGAAUGCUCAUUUUUAUUUUAUGAUAAAAUUUCUUUUAUCUCUAAAUUUUCUUUGAACUUUGACAUACAAGCUUCAUAAUUAAGUUCAGGUAGGGUAAUAAUUGUGCGGAUAAAUUAGCAUCUUAUGGAAUAGUUUCGAGAACACACUGUAUGAAAUUCACUUCCUAAUUUUAUUUUUAGUGAUUACACUAGGAAUAGAUUAGAUUGGGAAUGUCUAAUUAUCGUUUUAGGAAUAUGUAAUCCUCACUCGGUUUCCGGCUCUUUUAUUAAUAUAUUAGGUGUAUAGUUGCACCUUUGUUUUAAAAAAAAAGUUAUGACCCUAAUUUUUUCUCUGGCCGACCUACAAACCAUAAGGACUGGCACUGAAUCUGAUUUGCUAUUAGCUGCCAUUUGUUUUUGCAUUGAUUUAAAUGGCGUUAAUUUUAUUAACUGCAUUGAAUACAAAAGGUAUAUUAAAGGGUAAGGUUUUAAUGGCAUUGAUUAUGAUUAGGAAAGGUAAACUGUUUCAUUUGACUUUUAGAGUUGAAGAAUUUUUCAUAUUGUCAUUGGAUCAUUCACCAUUCAUUUUCAAUUAUUAUUACUCUUAAAUAAAAGUAAUACUCAUAAAUUAUGGUAAUGCUCUGACCGUGUUUAAAUUUUUAAAGUAUCAGUACAUAGAUAUUAUACUUUUAUUUUUUUAUUUUUAUCUAACAUUUGUUGUUAUUUCUUGCACUUAUGUUUAUUCAAAGUUUUAACUAUUUAUAGAUUUCUAUUGUAAUUAAGAUCAUAGAUUAAUAAGUAAUAUUGGAAGGGACUAUGAGUGCUAUCUUUUAAUAUUUUAAAAAUGAAGAAAAGUAACUACUUUUAUUUAUAUGUGUAAAUUAAUAUAAAAUAUUUUAUAAUAAAGACAGAAAAGGUUGUAUAUUUCUAGGUGUUUCUAACAUAUCCAUUGUAUUCAUAGGAUUAACAAAGAUAAAUUAUAUUUCAUUUUUGGUAUUUAACUUUUAUUGUUUUAAGAUUAUUUUAAGUAAUUGUUGUCAUAUAAUUGUUGGAGACUUUCUUCUCCAUCCGAAAUCCAUAGAGUAAACACGGAAGUCCUUAUGACCAUGGCUUUGUUCCCACAACCCAAUGUGUAUGCCUAUACAUACACCCGAAUGGAACAUCCAUGGUCCAGACCGAAGAAACCCCAAAUGAGUUAUGGUGAAGGUGAAGAACAUACCUUGUUGAGCCAUUUCCGGAAUCUCGAAGGUAUGAGGGUGAGAUGAUCUUCCAGAUGAUAGAGCGCCUUACGGUUUUCCUUAUGCUUCUCUAGAGGGGAAUGAGAGAGCUUUCUUGAGUGUGCCUUAGGUUUUUCUUUUUGAAAAGUGUUCUGUUUGGUGUGUUGGAGGAGAGACCGUAUCCUCAUGCCUUAUGAGCCUUAUGGAUGGGUGGAUAGUGUUAUCCUAUCCUGGAUAACACUAUUCUCAUCCUACCUUAUUCUCCUUAACCUUUACACUUGAAAACCUGUUGCUCUACAAAUGGGGACCAUAACCCAUAAAAGUAACCCCGUAGUGGUUACUACUUUAGUUGCAAUAAUUCUGAUUCAGUCCCUUCAUCAAAUCAGAAAUUGCCUGAAGGUAUCUACACUUAUUAUUAUUUCAUGACACAUAUGCCCUUAGCCACCAAAUUAAUUACUUAAGAUCAUUUUAUAUUUUGGCUAAUUACAUAAUGGCCAUAACACAAUUAUAGAAUUAUAUUUGUGACCCAUAAAUUGUCAGAAAUUCCAACAAUCUCCCACUGGUCACACAUAUGAUUCUCCGUACGUGUUAUCCUUAUUGCGCGCUUAAUUGCCAUUAUGACUUAGGCAUAUCCAAAUUAUCCCGUCCAUUAGUCCUGUCUCCAUAUCGAACCACAGUGAACUUCGCCAUAUCAAUCAUGGCUAAUUCAACAAUGAUCACCAACAUUGACACAACUAAAUGACAUAGAUACAUCAUGAAAUGUGUAGCAUGAAAAUUACAUGAAUAUGAUCUGUACAUGUCAAUUUUCAACUGGUCCUACUUAACUUUAGUGAGAUCCUUAACUUUAACAUAAAACCUUAUUGUACAAAGUAUAAUGACAGAAUACCAAACUGAAUGAUUAAUCAACUGAAGUUUGAAUACAAAGUAUCCAUACAUAAUACUGAAAUUACAUAGAACAUAAUAAAAUGUGUGCACUCAUGAAAGACCUUGGGUGUGAUAACUUUUGGAAGAGGAUCCGCAAUCAUGGAGUUAGUGCCUAAAUGUUCUAUGGAAAGCUGUCCACUUUGUACCUUCUCCUUAACAACUAGGAACUUAAUGUCGAUGUGUUUCGACUUUGCCGAACUCCUAUCGUUGUUGGAGAACAAAACGACUGAUUUAUUGUCAAAGUAUAACUUUAGUGGUCUUUCAAUCCUUUCCACAAUCCGCAGCCCACUGACAAAAUUUCUCAACCAUGAUGACUGAAGCGAUGCCUCAUAACAUGCUAUAUACUCUGCUGCCAUGGUGGAUGUAGCUACAAGGUUUUGCUUGGCAGAACGCCAAGAAACCGCACCACCAGCUAACAGAANNNNNNNNNNNNNNNNNNNNNNNNNNNNNNNNNNNNNNNNNNNNNNNNNNNNNNNNNNNNNNNNNNNNNNNNNNNNNNNNNNNNNNNNNNNNNNNNNNNNCUCGGUGUAUCUGGAUUCCUAAUACAAAUGAAGCUUCACCAAGAUCCUUCAUUUCAAAAUUACUGGAUAGAAAUGUCUUGGUUUCUAACAAGGUACCCACAUCAUUAGUGGCAAGCAGUAUGUCAUCCACAUACAAGAGCAAGAAAAUAUACUUGCUCCCACUGAACUUGUGAUACACACAAUCUUCAACUGAAUUCAUCUCAAAACCAAAAUAGAGAAUCACCUCAUGAAAUUUGUGGUACCAUUGAUGAGAUGCCUGUUUUAGCCCAUAGAUGGAUUUUGUCAAUUUGCAAACCAUAUUCUUUCGGUCUCCCGUUACAAAGUGUUCUGGUUGCACCAUAUAAAUNNNNNNNNNNNNNNNNNNNNNNNNNNNNNNNNNNNNNNNNNNNNNNNNNNNNNNNNNNNNNNNNNNNNNNNNNNNNNNNNNNNNNNNNNNNNNNNNNNNNAACCACCAGGUGUUUCCAGGUACUGAAGUUAAAUUCACCUCAGAACAAACCAAAGCAAUAAAUGUACUUUUCUUAGCACGCCAGGCGUGAUACUUUACACAUUUCUUCUUUUGAUGUCCAGUUGCUUUGCAAAAGAAACAGACAUCAUCCUGCUUCUGUUUCUUUUGCACUGAACCCUUAGCAGCUUCAUUCUUGGGCUCUGAAGUGAUUUUCCUUUUGCCCUUGUCUUUAGAGGUAGUAACAUAAUGGGCACUUUCAGUCCUCUCUCGCUUCAAUCUUUCCUCUUCUUGCACACAAAAUGAAAUGAGCUCAUUAAGAGUCCAUUUCUCCCUUUGACAGUUAUAAGAAAUCUUAAACUAACUGAAUUGUGCAGGAAGAGAAAGCAAGACCAAAUGAAUGAGUAACAAGUUCUGUAACAGAGUACUUGUUUCCGCCUUGUCGUUCUUUGCAAAGCGCUUUUCAAUAUAAGCAAGGAAAUCUUUGGCACUAUUUAUCUCAUCCGAGAUAGUACCCCUAAAGACUUCUGGAAUGCCACGCUUAAUGAUCAUCAGACUCAUGCGAUUAGAGCGAUCCACUUCUCAUAAUCCUUCCUCUCUUCAGAGGCACUGGAUUCCAAAGGAGAAGGGGGUUGCUCUACCCUUAAUGCAUAGUCCAGAUCCAUGCAGCCAAGAACAAUUUCCAUGUUCUCUUUCCAAUCCUUAAAAUUUUCACCAUUAACAACCGGAACCGAAUUCAAAUUUGCAGAUAUAAUAGAAGCAAUUGAUGUAGCUGAUGGAAACAAAAGACAAAAUAUUAAAAUAUGCUCACAACCCAAAAUUAUCAUUGUGCUCAAAACAAUGGUAUGUCCAAAUCAAGAUACCUAGUGCACCAUCAAUAUCAAGUCUUUGGACAGUAAUAUCAACUGCAAGUGGUACUCUUGUUGUAAUGAUCAAACAUUCAUAAUAAGACAUGUCAACUGACGAAUCCCUCUUUGGAUUGAUUCAUCAGUCACACGUAUAAAACUUUAGAAUUAUGACAUGUUUAUCANNNNNNNNNNNNNNNNNNNNNNNNNNNNNNNNNNNNNNNNNNNNNNNNNNNNNNNNNNNNNNNNNNNNNNNNNNNNNNNNNNNNNNNNNNNNNNNNNNNNACCAUACACACUUACAUCCAUUAUUCCUCAUGAGUUAUAUCCAUGAAAGAGGUCACUUUGGCGACGUUUCACUUCAUUUGGCUCAUUAAAAAUAACAGACAGCCUUAAUGGACAUACAAAUAACAAUGAAAAUCAAUGCACAAAGAUACCGAAGUCCCAAAAAUAAAUUUUUAAAAAAAAAAAAUGUUUUUUCUUCGCUCGGGCGAGCCGAAUCUCGCUCGGGCGACCAAAAUCUCGCCCGGGCGAGCCAAAUCUCGCUUGAGCCCUAUUUAAGGCGAUUUGCCUCUGUUAUCCUCUCGCUUGAGCGAGCCACUCUCGCUUGAGCGAGAGCACUACAGCAGAACAUGAAAAAUGCGAUUUCUGCAUCGCGAUUCUUCGAAAAUCAGCCAAAUUUUUCAACAACAAACAACAGAAAACAACAAUCAAUCAUUUUAAAUCGUUUUGUUUCAUAUUGAAAAAGCAUAAGUAUUUUCAUAAUCGAUUCAUAACAGAAACAAAACACCAAAACCCUAAAUCAAACCAGAUUUGGGGAAGAACAUGAAAACCUAAUUUCACCCAUGAAUCAAUUUGGGGUGGCUCUGAUACCACUUGUUGGAGAAAUUCCUUCUCCAUCCGAAAUCCAUAGAGUGAAUGCGGAAGUCCUUAUGACCAUGGCUUUGUUCCCACAACCUAAUGUGUAUGCCCAUACAUACACCCGAAUGGAACAUCCAUGGUCCAGACCGAAGAAACCCCAAAUGAGUUCAUGGUGAAGAAGAAGAACAUACCUUGUUGAGCCAUUUCCGGAAUCUCGAAGGUAUCAUACAUACACCCGAAUGGAACAUCAAUGGUCCAGACCGAAGAAACCCCAAAUGAGUUCAUAGUGAAGAUGAAGAACAUACCUUGUUGAGCCAUUUCCGGAAUCUCGAAGGUAUGAGGGUGAGAUGAUCUUCCAGAUGAUAGAGCGCCUUAUGGUUUUUCUUAUGCUUCUCUAGAGGGGAAUGAGAGAGCUUUCUUGAGUGUGCCUUAGGUUUUUUUUUGAAAAGUGUUUUGUUUGGUGUGUUGGAGGAGAGACCUUAUCCUCAUGCCUUAUGAGCCUUAUGGAUGGGUGGAUAGUGUUAUCCUAUCCUGGAUAACACUAUUCUCAUCCUACCUUAUUCUCCUCCACCUUUACACUUGAAAACCUGUUGCUCUACAAAUGGGGACCAUAACCCAUAAAAGUAACCCCGUAGUGGUUACUACUUUAGUUGCAAUAAUUUUGAUUCAGUCCCUUCAUCAAAUCAGAAAUUGCCUGAAGGUAUCUACACUUAUAUUAUUUCAUGACACAUAUGCCCUUAGCCACCAAAUUAAUUACUUAAGAUCAUUUUAUAUUUUGGCUAAUUACAUAAUGGCCAUAACACAACUACAGAAUUAUAUUUGUGACCCAUAAAUUGUCAGAAAUUCCAACAAUAAUUUCAAAGCUUGUUCAAAUAUAUUUUUCUCCUAAUUUCAUUCUCAUUUAAUAAUUUUAUUCUAAUUUUAUAAUAGUUAUUAUUACAUGAAGGAGGUGAAAUCAUUUUGUAGAAAAAAAUAAAUGAGAAGUUGACAUAUGACAAUGGAUAAAGUGAGAUGACCUUUUUUUAUUAUAUAGUUAAUAAUAAUUAGAUUGUUGAAAAUAAUAUUUGUUGAAAAAAUAAUAACAUACCCUAAAAUAGAUUAUUUGUUUAUCCAUAUAUGAGUGAGUAACUUUAGUUAAAAAUAAAUAUUAAAAAUUAUUCAGUCUAUUUUUAAUUAGUUUUUAAAAAUAUAAGUUUGAUCACGGCCUACUAUAAGAGUUUGCGACAAGUAGACAGUACAAGGUCCAUAAUUAAUUAGAGUCCAAAUAUAUUUUACAUCAACAACUACAUUUAUUACAUGUUAUUGUUUUUAUUCAUUUUGAAAUUUGUAAUGCUGUCAAUUAUUAUUACUCUAUGCCAUAAAUUCAAGCAAUAUUUUAUUGAUUGUAAUAAUUAUUGUUUUAUACUUAUCAUAUAAUUGCUGUGUGAUUGAAAUAAGACUCCAACCUAGAGUGAGAAAUAUGAGACGGAAAGUGUAUUACACUCUCCCACAAUUUAUAUGAAAUUGUCAAAUUUAAAAAAAAAAAUAAUAGUUAAUUAAAUUUUUUUGGGAUACAAUGAGUGCUCAUUUUUAUUUAUAUCUAUAUCUAUAUUUCUAUAAUUUUAUACUAUUAAUAAAGUCAAAACAAGAAGUAACGGUCAUACAUGGUAUAAUUUUAAUAUUCCAAACUUAUCUUUUUUAUAACUUCUCUCCUUAAUAAUUAUUGUAAGCUCCUACCCAUUGUUUUUAUUUUUAAAUCAAUAUACCAUUACUCUUCAACACAUUCUCAUAUUUCUAUCUUAUCUCUUUCUCAACUCAAGAAGAAUCCAGUAGCACACAAAAAACAUCCAACAAUUUGGUAAUGAUUAUUAGAGGUAAAAAAGACAUUUGUAAAAGUUGUGUGUAUAUCAUAUCAACAAUAUUCAUAUGUUAUCUUUUUAAAUAUUCGAUUUUUAUUAAAUUUAUAUAUUGUAUUUCAUAUAUUUAAAUUAUUUUUUCUUAAAAAAUAUAAGAUAAAGAUUAUACCACUAUAUAAAAAGUGUAAGUCAACGGGUAGGGACUGCCCGUCGACACUUAGUUUCAUUAUAAAAUUUCUUAUAAUCUCAAAAUUUUCUUCUGAUUUUAUCAUACUAGCUUCAUAAUUAAAUUAUGGGCCUAAAAUUUUCUGGACCUGGAAAGCAUAAGGACCGGCACUGAAUCUGAUGUGCUAUUAGCUGCCAUUUGUUUUUGAAUUGAUUUAAAUGGCGUUAUUUCUAUUAAAUAUUUAGUGGGCGUUGGUAUAGAUUAUGUUUGAGUAUCUUAACUGAAAACUGAAUAUAAACUAAUUUAUUUUGUUGGGGUGAGGUAAAAAAUUUAUUUUUUACAUAGUAAAUUACAGAUUAUUUGUUUAUGUUAUGAUUUUGUUUUGUUUGUUACACUAUUUAAAAAUACAUUUUUUAACAUUUACCAUCAUAAAUUUUUACUAUAAUUUUUAAUAUGUGUAACAAAGGAUAAAAAAUAUAUUAAAAUAAAUACAAUAUAAAAACCAAUAUCAAUAUUAAAAAACAACUGAUAUAUAAAUAAAUAAAAGUUGCUAAAUUUGAAUUAUAUAAUUGACAAAAUAAAUAAUACACAAAUGUCCAGUUUCAUACAAAAGUUUUAACAAUGUCAUCACUAAUUGAAUCUCGAACAAGACACAUGUGCUUAGAAGAUAUAUUAUUCAUGUGUUCAUCAAUAUCACCAUCAUCAUUGGUAACAUCAUCAUCAACAUUUGGUAUAUCACCAUAUGAUCAUUCAUAAUGUUAAACUCAGGAUCUGAGAUGCUAUUUUGCCUAAUAAAAUUAUUUAUUGUCAUUGUAGCAAUAAAUAGUUGAACCUAAGUAGAAUAUUUAAAUUUGGGCAUGUGACACAAUUACAAAUCUAUUCUUCCAAACACUGAAUGUUCUUUUUAUGGUGCUCCUUAAGUUAGAGCGAUGAUAGUUGAAGGCUUCAUUUUGACUAUUAAUUCCAGUAGUUCGCUUGAAUUCAGGAAGAUGUAUCACUCACAUUUAUGUGGCCCCAAGUAUCUAAGGGGUGUUGGAUAACCAGCAUCUACCAAAUAAUAUUUACCAAACAAACAAUUAAAAAUGUGAAGAGAAAUUGAAAUUUAAUACAUUUUUGGCAUGUAUGAAAUUUUUAAAUAAAAGUAAUAUGUUAUUCAACCCUAGAUCCAGAAACAAAACAAAGACACAUUGAGAAAAUGAAAUAUGAUGGGAGAAAUAAAGAAAUAGUGGAGAUACAAGGAUUCCAGAAAUAAAGAAAAUGAGAUAUUAAGAAACAUUGAGAAAUAAAGUUUGAUGGUGAUAAAAAGAUGGAGGAAAAGGAGAGUUAUGGGGCUUGGGGUGAUGUUGUGAAGAGUUACGAUGUUGAUGGAAGAGUCAAAAGGAUAAGAGAAAUAAAGUUAUGAUAACGUAAAAUGAGAAGUGGAAAAAUUGGAAAAAAAAUAAGCUUACAAAAAAUAAACCGACACAUGAUUUUAGAGCUUAUACUUUUCAGCUUUUUUUCAAAAAAAGUUGAGUUUAUAAUUUCAUUUGGUUACAAAACAUUCAUAGUUUAUAUUUUUAGCUUAUUUAAAAAAAAAUAAACAUAAGGUAAAAAAGAAAAUAUCCAGAACCAAACAUGCACUUACAAUGAUAUUUUGCAUAUUUAAGUGUCUUGGACGGUGGCUUUAUGAGAUGGACGGCCAGUAUAUUAAAGUGUAAAGUUUUAAUUGCAUUGAAUCGAAAAUGUGCUGAUAAAUUGACUUCAUUUGUAAUGGUCACUAAAACAUCAAAUACUUGGCAAGAACCUCCCGACUUCAUCAAGGAAGUGUUUAACACAAAUAGACUAGGAAUACCUAGUUAUAGGUUCACUAAUUUGUAAUUUCUUUCCUCUUUGUUUCCUUUUGUAACUUUCACUCUUUAAUGUUAUAAAUUUGUAAAUUUGUGUGCAGUUGCACUUUGCUUAAAAAAAAAAAAGAUGUGCUGUUUCAUUUGACUUAAUAUUUUAGAGUCUAGGUUUUAUUUCUGUUUUCCUCUUUAAUUAUGAUACAUAUGUCAUUUUUGAAAUUUUUGAAAUGUUAGUUAUUAUAAUUAGUCAAAAAAAUAAUUAUGUAUUAAAAUUUUAAUUUAAAUAUAUUUUUUUAAACAAUCAUAGCAAUAGCAAGUGAUACAUUUUAUGAGAUAUAAGUUAUGCUCCUAUUCUAAAGAAUUUUAAUUAUUCUUUUUUAAGAUAUUUAUUUUUUAUGUAACAUUUAUUAUUAUUCCCGGCACUUAUGUUUAUUAAAAGUUUUAACUUCUCCUACGAUACUAGACUGCUAUCUUUUAAAAAUCAAGAAAGGCAGAAAAUGAUAUAUUUCAGGGUGUUUCUAAUAUAUCCAUUGUAUGCAUAGGAUUAACAAAGAUAAGCUAUAUUUCAUUUGGUAUUUAACUUUUAUUGUUUUACGAUUUUUGUUAAGUUAUUGUCAAAGCUUGUUCAAAUAUUUUUCUCUCCUAAUUUUAUUCUCAUUUAAUAGCUAUAUCUAUAUUUCUUAAUUAUUUCUAUUUUCUUUGAAAAUAAACAAUCAGUAUUUUAAGAAAAUAUAUGACUUGUAAAAUAAUACUAUAAUCCAUAUUGUUUUUUUAAAAUAUGUGCAUUAAUCUUAAAAAAUUAGGAAACACAGAGAUUAAAAUUUAUUAUACAACCAAAAACAUCAUUUCUCAAUAAAAACUUUUCUUCAGAAUCAUUUAUCAAUAGGUUAUAAAAACACAUGUUUCAAGUGUUGUGUUAAUCAUUACCUAAGAUCUUCUUUAAGCAGUAUAAAAUAACAAAACAUUUCAUUAGGAAACUAAAUAUAGUAUUUUAAAUAUAUAAAAGUAUCAUAUUUCAAUACAAAAUUUACUAUUUCUUUCUUAAAUCACACGCUUAGGACACAUGUGAAGUUUUAGAGACAAACACAAAAAAGAGGAUUGAAUUAUAUAAUUAAUUAUUUUUGAAAAAUAGGUGUGUUUGUUUUGGCCAUUUUCUGUUUUCAUUUUCAAUGAAAUCAGAAAAUGAGUGUGAAAAUAUGAUUGUCUUAUUGUUUUUAUUUCAUAUUUUAGGAAACAUGACCUUCAUUUCCUUAUAUUUUAGGAAACAACUAUAGAUUCGUAAACUUGUAAUGGAUUUCCUCUUGUAUUUGGUCUCUCUUUAUUAAUCUAGUUUUCGGUGCUUAGGCACUUUGUUCUAAAAAAAACAUUUCCUGAAUUCUGCAAACCAAUCCAUUGGACACCUAGCACAAAAUUGUAGGAAAAUAUACAAAGGCGGUGCCCAAGGAGCAAAGGAAUUGACUAAACCAGCAAGGAAGAGACUUUUGUCGCAGAACCCAGGCAAGGAGGCCAUUGUCAACAAGGAUGCACAUGAUCUAGUUAUAAAUUGGAGUUUGAUAGCAAUGUUGUUCAUAAUCUGCCUACCCUGAAGCACGUAGGUGAGAAUCUAGAGCAAUCUCAUACUUCAAAGAAGGAAUCUAGUAGUGAGCCGUUAGAGGAAUUUUCAAGUACUCCGCUCCAGCAGGAUCCUAGAAAUGCUCACCCAAACUUGUUAGGAAGCAUGAUAUAUAAUCAUCAACAAUUUAUCAUUCAGCCGGAUGAUUCAAUUGAAAAUGAUGUUGUGAGAAAGGAUCUCAGUAUUCUGAAUCGCUUCUGGGGGAUGAUAAGUGCCAAACACACCUAAAUUUCAUAUACUUUUAUGGCACUUAUCUUAAGCAUAAUUGAGAAAACCCAACUUAAAACAAUACUUUUUGGAUAAAAUAUCAUAAUAUUGUAUAUUUGUGUUUGUAUUUUUUUUAUGUGUUAUGUAGGAUUUAGAAAGAAAAACAAAAGAGAAUAAAGACUCAUGGUCUAAGAAGAAAAAGAAGUCAAACUCAAGGUGCUCAAGCAGGCAACUGAGCGUGGACCAAGCCACGAUGAGCUGACCUGGACACCAACCUGGCAUAGACCAAGCUGCUCAAGCAAGCAGCUGAGCGGACCUGCUUGACCGCUCAGCCUAGCACUAGACAAAACCUGCCACUGUUAGAACUCAAGCUUGGCACGGUCACACACAGGCCUGGCACACGCCCAAGCUGCUUAAGCAGCAGCUCAACGGUGACACAUAUGUGCUCAGCGGUGAACCAGACACCUGACCCGGUCAGCAAGCACCUAGUCACGUUUCAAUCAACACGGUCAAAGCUACUCAACAAGUAGCUUAGCGGUGCCACAUGUGUGCUCAGCAGUGUGCACCCAGACUUGACUUAGCCAUCAAACAACCAUGAAGUCAUGCAUGACAUCACUUCAAGUAGCCCACCAUAGGCUUUUGAGGAUUAGCUCAUCAUAGCUAGUCCCAUAGCUCACAACUAGCUUUGGUGAGUCAAGCUUAAGGAGUUGACAAAGCUACUUGACCAAGUGACCAAACCCAUGCUGAAAGGUUUGGUCAGCUGCUGAGCGGUGCAAACAAGCAGCUCAGUCGUGCCAAGGAAAUUCUAUAAAUAGGAAGGAGUUUCCUUCACACACUUCAUAUCAUCUUGCCUUGAAAAUUUUUCUUCCCUGAAGUGAAAAACACAAUUCUCUCUUCUUGUUCUUAGUUCAUAGAAGUUCUUUUUGAGUAAGUUUUAUAGUUUUUAGUUUAUAAUUCAAUAGCAGAAAGAAGAAGGCAAAUGAGAUGCAAAAAUCAAUUUUGUAAUCUCAUUUGGAACUUAAAGCAUCCAAUCCAUAGAUAGAUGGCUCAUGCUCCUAACAAUUUCAUUUGAAAGUUGAUCAUGUAUUUCUUCUUCUUCUUUUAUUCUAAAUUUGAAUUUUAAUCAUUCAAGUNNNNNNNNNNNNNNNNNNNNNNNNNNNNNNNNNNNNNNNNNNNNNNNNNNNNNNNNNNNNNNNNNNNNNNNNNNNNNNNNNNNNNNNNNNNNNNNNNNNNCAAAAAGAUUUUGUCUCCUCAAGAAUUUGUUAAUAUUUAGUUUUAUGUUUAUUGUUACUUGUUUAUAUUCAAUUCAAUUCAAAACCAUCAAAAUAUGUUUAAACCAUUAUUUGUGCUUUGACAUGUUUAUAUGAUUUAUUUUAUUAGGCAAUUCCUUGUGGUUCGACAUAACUCUAUACUAUACUACAAUUGAAUCUUGAAAGAGGUGUAAAUUGUAAAAUAGUAAAGUGUUAUCAAUAAAUUUAUUUGUUGAAACACCUUUUAAUAUACAAAAGUGAUGAAGCUAACUUACUAACUUUUAUUUAUUGUUAUCUAUAUUCCGCAAUUUAUUUAUUCUUUAAUACCAAUCUUCCUUAAGGAAGAAGUUUGGUUUGUUAAUAAAAGGAACCCGAAAGGGAGUAAAUAAAUAAAUGUCACUUAACUUUAUUAUUUUUUUGUUCUUUAUUUAUUUACUUGUUUGUAACAAUUAACUAUUCAUCACUUUUAUAUAUUAUAUUACCAUUAAACCGGUGUUGGAAUUUAUUCCACAAAACCGAGAUGGUAUUCAAAGGUACUUAAUAAUUAUGUAAUAGGAGAUUGCUUCGAUAUCAUUGUACCGGCGUUAGAAUAUAUUCUAACAAAGCCGAGAUGGGGCAAAGAAGGAAUAACUUAUUCACAUGAUUAUUAGAAGUAAGUUGUAACUAGAAUAUUCUUGAAACCAUUAUACCGAUGUUGGAAUUUAUUUCAACAAAACUGAGAUGGUGAACAAAGAAUAAAACCGAGUUCACUUACUUAACCAAAAAUAAAGAAAAUAAACCGUAGAGGAAACUCUCCUUUCAACAAAUUGGCGCCAUUGCCGGGGACAAUUUGUUGAGAGGGGAAAACCUCUCAAAUAAAUCUUUCAACAGGGGACACAGAUGAUAAGGACGGUGAUAUUGUAUCGGAUACUGCAGAAGACUUCUCUAACGUCCUCACAAAGUCUCAGAAAAAGAAGAUAAGGAAAAAAGGUUGUUCUUUUGGAUGAUCUUUUUUCUGCUGCUAACAUUUUUCUCCUCUACAUAUAGGUUUGCUUGUUGUGGUGUUGUUUUGCUAUUGUGCAGAUUGGUAGUUGCUGCUACUUUGUUGUUUAGAAAGAAAAGAAAGAGGAUUAGUUAGUUUGGUGGGUAAUUUUAGUCUUGAUUGCAUUCUCUCCUUUUGGAUGAGAUAGCUUGGUUUGAGUUUGCUGGUGUGCAAAUUCUUUUGCUGCUGUUAGGGAUGUAGUGGCUUGCUUUGGUUUUCCCUGCAUUUCUUGGUUUUGGUUUUCUGCAUUUUCUGUAUAUUGUCUUUCUUUGCUUUUGCUAUUUUCUUGUAACCUUUCUUGUGUUUUUUUAUCUUCAAUAAAUUUGGUGUGUGCUUAAAAAAAAUAAUGCAAAUCAAUGGUGGAUGAUGUGUUGACUUUAAAAAAUUUUAUACUGUCAGUGCAUAGAAUUUCAACUCUUAAAUAAAUCUGUAUCAUUAUCGCACUCAUUUAUUAUAUUGGGCAAUCAAAGUUAUUAAAUUUGGUCCAAGACGACCGAGUCAUUCAAGUUAUUAGGUCAAUAGUCAAAUUAGUAGGUUAUUAAUUGGACUAAUUAAAUCAGUUUAAAUUAAAAAGAUUGAAAAAUUUGUAAGAACAACUAACGUUAUUUGAUAACUUUAAAGUUUAAACUCCAAAUUUGAAAUAAAUUACUACUAGACAAGUACAUAAUUAUGAAACCAAUAAAGAAGGUUUUACAAAAACAAAAUAUGAGAAACAAUUUGAAAUAUUAUAAAAAAAAUAUAGGUUUUACGUGUCAAUUUUAAUGUUUACUAUUUAAUGGUGCUAGUUUGUAACUUGUUCUUAUUCAUUUGAAUUCAGAAUAAAGGAAUCCUUGAAGAGUGAACACUUGCAUUAAUUACUGUCAACAUCAUUAAAGCUGGAGAGAGACUACACUUAUUGCAUCAGAUUGGGAACUCAAGAAUGAUAAAUGGGUGUGUGAUUUUCGUGCAAAGUCUCCACCCACUUAAUUCAUAUGAAUAGGGAACUCAAGCUUGAUAAAUGUGGGUGUAAUUUUCGUGCAAUGCAUCCAACCAAGUCUAAACACACAAUUCAAACUCCAAGUUGCCUUCUUAACUCGUGGGGACAAUAGGCAAUCAAUAAUGGCCGAAUUUCUCCAAGGAAUUAAGGAAUCCUAGACUAAAGUGCAUCACUUCUUCAUGGAAAUUCAAAGUAUCUUGCAUGUUGUAAUUUAAUUACUUAGGAAUUCCCAUGUGGGAUAUUUACUUGCAUUAUUUUCGUGUUGAACAUGGCGUGGAAGGGAUCCAUGUAAUCAUCCAUGUGUAACAAUUUACCUAAGCAAAUAUUUUUUUAACCAAAAAGUGUUUCUUUGCACACAAGUUCAAAGUUGGAACUUUUGAGGGUAAGUGUUUCACUCAAUUUAUCAAGCAUUUGUUUGUAGUAAUUUGAACUUGUUUUUCAUCUCACCUAUUCUCUUAAAUUGCAUAAUUAAUCAAAUCACUAAGGUCUUCUUUUUUGUUGUAAUGAGGCUUGGUUUGGAUAAUGGUGUUUCUAGAUUUUCAAGGCUAAGUUUAAAAAGAGAGCAUUUUUGAAAAUUUUCUCAAUGGAAUACUUUACUCUUCUUUUUUCCAUUAUUGUUUUCCAACCUCUUUUACUUCUUUGAACCUUGGCUUCUAUUUUUCUCAAUAUUUUUUUUUCUUUUUUCAUUUUUGUUUGAAGAUUGAGUUUUUCUUUUUCUUUUAAGACGCAAAGUCCACCAAUUUUCCCCCCAACUUGAUUCUUUCAAACUAUUCUUUAAAAAUUUAAUGAUCUCUUAGAACAUUUUUCUCAAUUUGGUUUUAUGGAAUAAUUUGAAAAAAAUGAUUUCAUUUGUUUGGCUCAAAAUGGGCUUAUCAAAGGAUGUUCCUAAUUUGGUUUGGACUUUUUGGCCUUUGGUUCAACUAAUCAAAGAACAUGCCUUGAUCACUUCUUAUCAUUUUUAUGCAAUUAAGAGAUUUAAAGAUUCAAACAAGUUUCAUUAGACAAAUCAAAUGUUGAUUCUCACUCAUGUGUUUUGGCUCACUCCCUCACUUGAUUUGGAUUCACACUUUUUAAUACAAAAAAUAUUUGCAAAGAUCUUGUGACAUAAAAUUUUCAAGUUAUGACAUUAUGUAACUUUUUUCACAAAAGUUUAGCAUAUAUCUCACUUUUGCUCAAUCAAAGCUUAAUUUAAAGUAUCCCUAAACUUUCCUAAUCAUGUGAUCAUGCUUCAAAAAUUUUGUUUUAGCCAUUUUGUUUUCGGUUUUGAUUUUUUUUUUUGAGUUUUUGAACAAACAAAUUUACUUUUUACAUUUUUACACAAUCUAGUCAAGAAAGAAAUUUUUUAAAUUACAUCAAUUCGUGUCCCCCUUUUUAAAUGAAGGCUUGUCCUCAAGCCUUAAAUUUUUUUGGGAUUUACUUGAUAUGAUUUAAAAAAUUUGUUUAGUUUUUCUAAAAAUAAAAAUAUAAAAUUAACAUUACUAACAAAAGACACUCUAUUAAUGUUAACUUGCUCAUAACAUAAAUUUAAAACAUAAUGGGAAAUAACAUAAAGAAAUUUAACAUAAUAUGAAAGUUGAAAUUUUUAGAGAAAAGAAACAACCGAAAAAGCCUUUUCUCAUUCUGCAUCAUCUUCCUUUUCUUCUUCUUCACUUGUGCCUUGGGAUGACUUCAUGAUUUGCUUGAUGGUUAUGUUAAGUUGGUGCACACCGCUCAGCGCACCUGCUUCACCGCUAAGUUGUUUGUGCAGCAGCUUCUGACCGUGUUGACCGGGACGUGGCCUGGUGCUUGCUGAUCUGGUCAGGAGUCUGGUUCUCCGCCGAGCUGCUUGGUUGGACCGCUGAGCUGCUUGUUCAUCAGCUUGGGCUUAUGCCAAGCUCAUGUCUGUUCGUGUCAAGCUGAAUUUCUGAAUGUGCCAGGUCUAGUUUGGUGCUCGACUGAGCGGCUAAGCAGGCCCGCUCAACUUCUUGGUUGAGCAGUUUGGUCCAGGUCAAGCUAGUGUCCAAGUCAGCUCAGCAGGGCUUGGUCCAUGCUUAGCUUCCUGGUUGAACAUCUUGAUUUUUGACUUCUUUUGCUUUGUUGACCAUGAGUCUUUCUUUCUUCUUUUCUCCAUUCUAAAUCCUAUAAAAUACAUAAAAAAGAAAUACACAUACAAAUAUACAAGAUUGUGAUAUUUUAUACAAAAAGUAUUAUUUUAAGUUGGUUUUUCUCAAUUAUGCUUAAGAUAAGUGUCAUAGAAGUGUAUGAAUUUUAGGUAUGUUUGACACUUAUCACUGUGUUCUUCCAUUUCUUUCUUCUUACAAAAAAAAAGUGUCAAAGUCCAAAACAAAACAAAAAUCAAAAGUGUCAAAGAGUCGAAAUUCCAAAGAAAUUUGUGUCAAAACAUUUCUUGGUAAGUUUGGGUGUUUUCUUUCACAAACUCUUGGUUCUACCCUUGGUUCAUUCAAGAGGACCGUGGAGGAGAGUGAGUGUUGAGAGAUACAUUUUCCACAAAAUAUUGAGUGUUCAAGUGAGUGUUGAGAGAUACAUUUUCCAAAAAAUAUUGAGUGUUCAAGUGAGUAUUGAGUGAAACAUUUUCCACCAAAAAUUUGAGUGAAACACAAAGAGAGUUGAGUGAACAUGUCUAAUGAGAGUGAGAGUCCACCAUUGUCCCCAAGGACAGCAACACUUCUUGCAAUGAUGACAACACAAUUCCAAACCUUAAGAAGGGAAAUAGAGCAAAUGAGAGUGGAGUAUGAUAUGAGGUUUGGUUAUCGUGAAAAUGAUUACUCAAGUGAUGAGGAAGAAGGAGGAGAGAUAGGAGAGAAGCAUGUAGGGAGAGGAGACAUGAGGAGGAUAGGCUUGAAGGGGUCAAAAUAAAGGUUCCUACCUUUAUGGGGAAAAAUGAUCCGGAAGCAUACUUGGAAUGGGAGCUCAAAAUGGAGCAAGUUCUUGAGUGCAACUCAUACCAAGAAAAUAAGAAGGUUAAGGUGGACGCACUUUAAUUCAAGGAAUAUGCCUUGAUUUGGUGGGAUCAACUUAACAAGGAGAGAAGGAGAGUAGGAGUCGAACCUAUUGAUUCGUGGGUUGAUAUGAAGUUGAUCAUGAGAAGGAGAUUUGUCCCUAGUUCUUACCAAAGAGAUAUUCAUAACAAACUCCAAAGACUCACUCAAGAGUCUAAGAGUGUUGAUGAAUACUGUAAGGAGAUGGAAUUAGCUUUGCUAAGGUCCAAUUUCGAUGAGGAUAGGGAGGCUACUAUGGCUAGGUUUUUACAUGGAUUAAACCAAGAUAUCCAAGAUGUUGUUGAAUUGUAACAUUAUGUUGAAUUGGAUGAUUUGGUCCAACAAGCCAUGAAAGUAUAACAACAAUUGAGGAGGAAGAAGUCAAAAUUUUCCUCAAGUUCUACUUCCAAAUUUCAAGGUUCAAAGUGGAUGGACAAAUCCAAGAAGGAGGGAUUACCAUUCAAAAAUGGUACACCUAGUACCAAGGAGGCCGUGGCCACAAGCCAAGGCAAACAACAAAUGGAGUCCAACCAAAGGAGCCGAGAUGUUAAAUGUUUCAAGUACUUAGGCCUUGGACACAUUGUUUCUCAAUGUCCAACUAGAAGAAACAUGAUUUUGAAGAAUGGGGAAGUGGAGUCUCAAUCUGAGGCUUCUAGUGAUGAAGAGGAUGAUCAUGAAGAGGAGGAUACCAUUACCAAAUGAGAUUUGUUCAUGGUGAGGAGUCUCUUAGGAAGCAAAAUAAAAGAACAUGAUGCAAGUCAAAGGAAAAACAUCUUUAACACAAGAUGUUUUGUGGAUGGUAAGCUAUGUUCUUUAAUAAUUGAUAGUGGAAGUUAUGCUAAUGUGGUUAGUGCAAGAUUGGUGUCAAAACUUAAUCUUGUGACUAAGUCACAUCCCACUCCUUACCGGUUACAAUGGUUAAGUGAGGUUAGGGAAAUGCUUGUUAACAAGCAAGCUGAAAUUCCAUUUUCAAUUGGAAAGUAUGAGGUUCUGUUUUACGCGAUGUUGUUGACAUGGAGGCUAGCCAUUUACUCUUGGGCCAUCCAUGACAAUAUGAUAAGGGAACCACCCAUGAUGGGCGUUCCAAUAAGUUCUCUUUUCAGCACCAAAACCACAAGGUUGUGCUAUCUCCAUUGUCACCUAGACAAGUUGGUGAAGAUCAAAAGAAAUUGAGAGAAAAGAUGGAGACAGAGAGAAAAGAAAGGAAGAGAGAAAAAUUGUGUGAAAAUCCGAGUGAAAAGAAAGUAAAAAUGAGUGGGAAAAAGGAUACACACAAAGACAAAGAGUGAGUUUGUAAAAAGAGAGGGGUACAUGGCAACCAAAGAGGAGAUAAAACAUGCUUUGAUUUCAAAACAACCUUUGUACCUACUUUAUAGUAGGGAGUUUUGUCUAACUACUAACCCUUCUAAGGAAGAAGAAUUGCCUAUGUUGGUUGAGAAUUUAUUGCAGGAAUAUGGUGAUGUGUUCCCUAGGGAGGUACCUCACGGUUUACCACCUAUAAGGGGCAUUGAGCAUCAAAUUAAUCUCAUACCUGGAGCAUCUCUACCUAAUAGGCCAACUUAUAGUUGCAACCCCACUAAAACAAAGGAGAUUCAAAACCACAUUGGAGAAUUGAUGCAAAAAAGAUGGGUUCAAGAGAGCCUAAGCCCUUGUGUUGUUCCAGUCAUCUUGGUGCCCAAAAAGGAUGGCACAUGGAGGAUGUGUACUAAUUGUAGAGCUGUGAACAACAUAACAGUAAAGUAUAGGCAUCCAAUCCCAAGGUUGGAUGACAUGUUGGACGAAUUAUAUGGUGCCACCAUCUUUUCAAAAAUUGAGUUAAAAAGUGGCUACCAUCAAAUUCGGACCCGAGAAGGUGAUGAAUGGAAAACUGCCUUUAAGACCACUUAUGGUUUGUAUGAAUGGCUUGUCAUGCCAUUUGGGCUAACCAAUGCCCCAAGCACUUUUAUACGUUUAAUGAACCAUGUCUUGAGGGAAUUUUUGGGUAAAUUUGUUGUUGUGUACUUUGAUGAUAUUUUGAUUUAAUCUAAAACCUUAGAUGAGCAUUAUGAACAUCUAAGAGUUGUUUUGCUUGUUUUGAGAAAUGAAAAGUUAUAUGCUAAUGUUGAAAAAUGCAUUUUUUGUGUGGAUCAUGUGAUUUUUCAUGGAUUCAUGAUAAAUGUCAAUGGGGACCAUGUGGACCAAGAAAAGAUAAAGGCCAUCCAGGAUUGGCCUACUCCAAAAAUUGUGACCGAGGUAAGGAGCUUUCAUGAAUUAGCAACCUUCUAUAGGAGGUUUGUUAAGGAUUUUAGUACCUUAGCAUCAGCCCUUAAUGAGCUUGUAAAGAAAAAUGUUGUCUUUCGUUGGGGUGAGAGACAAGAAGAGGCCUUUAACAAGCUUAAGGCCAAACUUACUAGUGCACCUGUAUUAUUGCUUCCAAAUUUUGCUAAAUCUUUUGAAUUAGAGUGUGAUGCUUCUAACAUUGGUAUUGGAGCUGUUUUGAUGCGGGAUGGACAUCCGAUUUCUUAUUUUAGUGAGAAGUUAAGUGGAACAACCCUUAAUUACUCUAUUUAUGAUAAGGAGUUGUAUGCCUUGGCAAGGGCACUACAAACUUGGCAACACUACCUUCUUUCAAAGGAAUUCGUGAUUCAUAGUGAUCAUGAGUCCCUUAAAUAUCUUAAGGGCCAAGGUAAGUUGAACAAAAGGCAUGUAAGAUGGGUUGAGUUCAUGGAAUAAUUCCCAUAUGUGGUAAAGCAUAAGAAAGACAAGGCCAAUGUGGUGGCCGGUGCUCUUUCAAGGAGGCAGACGUUUCUCUCCACUUUGGAAACCAAAUUGUUUGGUUUGGAAUGCAUCAAGGAACAAUAUGAGCAUGACAAAGAUUUUUCACAAGUCUAUGUUGCUUGUAUGCAUUCAGCCUAUAAUGGUUAUUUUAAGCACAAUGACUUUUUAUUUAAAUAAAAACAAUUGUGUGUGCAUAAAAGCUCCAUUAGGGAAGUGUUGGUAAAGGAAUCCCAUGAGGGGGGUCUAAUGGGGAACUUUGGUGUUCCAAAGACUUGAGACAUGUUGAAAGAACAUUUUUAUUGGCCAUGUAUGAAACAAGAUGUGAAAAACUUUUGUGAAAGGUGUAUAACAUGUAAAAAGUCCAAAUCAAGGGUCACGCCAUAUGACCUUUACACCCCAUUAACUGUUCCAAAUUCACCUUGGAUGGAUAUAUCCAUGGAUUUUGUUUUAGGGCUGCCUAGAACAAAGGAAGGCAAUGAUUCAAUCUAUGUGGUUGUUGAUCGAUUUUCUAAAAUGGCACACUUUAUCCCAUGCAAGAAAGUUGAUGAUGCUAACGAUGUUGCUGAUUUGUUUUUUCAGGGAAGUGGUAAGGCUCCAUGGAGUACCACAAAGUAUAGUGAGUGAUAGGGACACCAAGUUCCUUAGUCACUUUUGGAGGACCCUAUGGGGAAAGCUUGGCACUAAGCUUCUCUAUUCGACCACUUGCCAUCCUCAAACAGAUGGGAAAACUGAGGUUGUCAAUAGGACUCUUUCCACCCUCCUAAGGACCGUGAUAAAAAAGAAUAUAAGGUCAUGGGAUGAAUGUUUACCCAUGUUGAGUUUGCCUAAAACAGAGCGACUCAUAACACUAUUGAUUUCUCACCUUUUGAAGUUGUAUAUGGGUUUAACCCAUUAACACCUCUUGAUUUGUUACCAAUUCCUAAUGAUUUUAUUUUGAAGCAUAGGGAUGGAUGGGCUAAAGCAGAGUAUGUUCAAAAAUUACAUGAGCAAGUCAAGGCUCAAAUUGAGAAAAGAAAUGCAAUUUAUGCAAAGCAAGCUAACAAGGGGCACAAACAAGUGAUAUUUGAAUCCGAAGAUUGGGUUUGGGUACACAUGAGGAAAGAAAGGUUUCUUGAACAAAGGAAAUCCAAACUCCUUCCUAGAGGAGAUGGCCCAUUUCGUGUGGUGAACAAAGUGAAUGACAAAUCCUACAAACUUGAACUUCCAAGUGAGUAUGGUAACAUAAGUGUCACUUUCAAUGUUUCUGAUUUAACUCCUUUUGAUACAGGUGAUGGCGAACUCAUUACGAGGUCAAAAUCCUUUCAAGAAGGAGGGGAUGAUGUGAACCUAAUUGAGCCCAAGCUAGAUAAUGACGAACUAAAAGGCAUUGGUGGUCCUAUGACAAGGGCAAGGACCAAAAGGGUACAAAAUGCCAUAGAAUUACUCAUGAAAGGCAUCAAAGAGAGUGCUCCAAGAUCAUACCAAGGGAGUUCUUUGCUUUUCCUAAACAGGUGUAAUGACCCUAGAUCUUUUAUAAAUUUGUUUCCAAAAAGAUCAAAAUUAGUCUUUCUUGUAUUGGGUUAACACCCAUUGUAAUUCUUUAAUACAAUUUUCUUAUAAAAAAAAGUACGGGUACAGAGUGGUGAUCCACUUACUUCAAAGUAAUUUUUUUAAACUUACUCCACAUCCUAGCCAUCAAUUCUAGGGAAAUCUAAUGGUUUAGAUUUACUAACUAAUUCAUGUCAUAGGAUUUCCCUAGAAUUGGUGGCUAAGGUGAAGAGUAAGUUUAAAAAAUUACUCUUAGAGUAAAUGAAUCCUCCUUUUUUAUAUAAACAACUAUUUUUGUUUUUUAUUCUUUUAAAAAUAAAUUGUUAGUCUGUUCUAUUCUUUUAAAAAUUUGUUGUGUAAUCAAUUAUUAUCAUUCUAUAUAUAAAUUUAUUAAGUUCAUUCAAUAUUUUAUUGGUUGUAAUAAUUAUUAUUUUAUAUGAUCAUAUAAUUAUUGCGUGACUAAAAUAAAGGUAUGACCUAUAGUGAAAAAUAUAAAUCUGUUUAAUGGAAAUUGUAUCAUUCGUUCUUACAAAUUUGUCUGAAAUCUUUUGUUUAAAAUUUAUCAUAAAAAUAUUAUUUAACUAAAUUCUCUUGGUAUACAAUGGACAAUCAUUUCUAUUUCAUUAUCACAAUUUCUUUUAAUCUCUAAAUUGAGUAAAUUCUCCUACAACUUUGACAUACAAGUAAACGUAAGGACAUGCACAUGUGCUAUUUAGCUGCCAUUUUUUUUUUGCAUUGAUUUAAAUGGCAUUAAUGCUAUUAACUAUUUAGUGUGAAUAUUUUGCAUGUUUAAAUGUCUCCAAAGUGGCUUUAAGAGAUGGACGGUCAGUAUUUAAGGUGUAAAGUAUUAAUUAAAUUGAGUCGAAAAAGUGUACUGUUUUAUCAAAGGUAUUUCAUCUCUUUCAAAAUAUAUGACUGAAUCUUCAAAUAAGUGUCGCUCACAGAAAUUAAACUCUUGAUAUUUUGGUCAUUUUAAGGAUCUAGUGAUACAUUACACAACUAUACUAGCGCCUUGAUCUCUAGUUUUCGAGUUUAAAUUUUAUUUAUCUUUUCCUAGUUAAUUAUAUACUACAGAAUCCAAGAAGUUUUGAUAAUUAUUUCUAUAAAAUAUUUUAUUUUUUACGUGACAUUUAUUAUUAUUUUUAUUAUUUUUGCACUUAUGUUUAUUAAAAGUUUUGACUAUUUCUAUUUUUCUAUUAUUAUUAAGAUUAUCAAUUAAUGAGUAAUAUUAGAAGAGACUAUUCUAUAAUAUUUUUAAAAAUUAAGAAAAGUAACUAUUUUUAUUGAUGUGUAAUUUAAAAAAUAUGAGUAUAACUUUUUUUAAGCAAAGGUGUAAAUACACCUGGAUAUGUUAAUAUAAAGUCACAUACAAGAGGGCAAAUUUAUACGUUUCUGAGUCUGUAGUUGGGCAUACCCAACCGAUUUCUAGUGUAAUCCUCAACAAGAAAUGUAGGAAUUGAGUUCCAAAUAGCUUUUGUUUUAGAUGCUAUACUGAGAGAAGCCAAUUUAUCAGCACAAGAGUUACCUCCUUAUAAAUAUGUGACAUUCUGAAAUGCAUGGUGUUGAGCUUAGUCUUGCAAUUAUGCCAAUCGUUAAGAAGCUUUCAAGGAGGCUUUGACUUGCCACUAAAUAUGUCAAGAAGCAGCAUUGAAUCACACUCCAGCCAAAGAUUAAAGCACCCUCUUUUAAAAGUCAAGUUCACAACCUGAAUAGCUGAAUGAAAUUCAGCAUAGAGAGCAUUUUGAAUUCCUAAGUAGUUUGCAAAAGCAGUUGAAAACAACUCAUUGUUGUCCCUGAAUAUUCCCCCACCACCCGAGUGACCAGGAGAUUUAUGAGCAGCCACAUCAGUGUUCAUCUUUAUCCAACUAAAUGAAGGAGGAAACCAAGUAACUCUAGUAAUCCGAGGAGCUUUGUUGAGUUUGAUAUCAAUAGAAAAACUCUUAAGGAUGAUUAGAUCAUUCAGUGAGGGAUAAUCUGAGACAGAGGAAGAGUUUCCAGACAAAGACGUUUCACUUUUAAUCUUGGCUAUGGCUUUAGAGAUAAGCAUUAUCGCACCUUCAAAUCUAGUUUGGUUUCUGCAAAACCAGAUAGUACUUAUAGUAUGAACCACAUAAGCAAUCAUAACAUCCUUGACUUGGGAGUUAGUAAUCCAGGAACAACUCAAAAGAAGGUUAUGAAUUGAGGAAGAGUUGAUAUUGUUGAGGAAAGAGCAUAUGAGCCACUAUCAGAGAGAAAUUGCAAAAGGACAAUUCAUAAAAAGGUGAUCAACAUCUCAGCUAGCAUUACAUAGGUUGCAAAUUGAGGCAAUAGCACAACCUCUCUUCGUCAAAUUCUCAUCGGUUGGCAUUUUUUUUUGUUCAUGAUUGUUAGUGUAAAGAUUUAUACACAACCAGUACAUCACAUAUCAUUUAUUUGUAUUAGUUUUUGAAGAGUUAAUGAUAAUUGAAAAUGAAUUGAUGAAUGAUGAAUUAAAAGUGUAUAAAACUUUUACACAGUUAGUGGAUAUAUUUUGUUCUCAAAAAUAUUUUAUAAUAAAGUAAAAAAAAAAUUAUAUUUUCGGGUGUUUCUAACAUAUAUAUCCACUAUGCAUAGGAUAAACAAAGAUAAACUAUAUUCCAUUUGGUCUUUAACAUUUAUUAUUUGAAGAUUUUUUUGUUUUUGCCGUCAUACAAUUUCAAAGCUUGUUCAAAUAUAUAUUUUCCUAAUUUUAUUCACAUUUAAUAAUUAUAUCUAUAUUUUCUUAAUUAUUUCUAGUUUAUUGGAAAAUAAAUAUCUGUAUUUUAAAAAUAUAGGACUUGUAAAAUAAUACAAUAAUCAAUAUUGCUUUUUUGAAAAAUGUGCAUUAACCUUAAAAAAAUUUAUGAAAUACAGGGAUUAAAAUUUAUUAUAAAACUAAAAGCAUCAUUCUUAUUCACUCGGCAAUUCAUCAUUUCUCAAUAAAAGCUUCCCUUUAGAAUUAUUUAUCAAUAGGUUAUAAAAACAAAUGUUACAAUUGUUUUGUUAAUCAUUACCUAAGACUUGUAUGAAAGAAAGAAAAAUAUCUUUAGGAACUAAAUCUCGAAUUUUAAAUAUAUAAAAAUAUCAUAUUUCAAGACAAAUUAAGGUUAUUCUCAAAUCUGCUAAAUUGUCAAUUUUUGUUAAUGGCCACUAUGUUGGAUUCUUCAGUUGCAAGAGAGAGGUUAGGCAAGGUGACCCUCUAUCCCCCUUCUAUUUUGUUUGGCUGAAGAUGUCAUUAGCAGAGGGUUAUCAAAGCUGCUAGACAAUGGAAGAAUUAGCAAAAUUACUGGUCCUAGGAUUGCUACUCCUAGUCAUGUUCUCUAUGUUGAUGACAUAUUACUUUUCUGUAGAGGAAUUAAGAGAGAGCUGUCAGCCAUAAAAGAUUUGUUUGAUGAUUAUGCUAGAAUCUCUGGUUAGUGUUUAAACUUUAACAAGUGCAAGUUUUAUUCGACUCAGGCAAAUGCUAGGAAAAUUGGGAAACUAACUAAUUGGCUGGGUUUUGGUCCUUGUCAAUUGCCCUUCAAUUAUCUUAGUGUGCCUUUGUUCAAAGCAAAAGCAAAAGCUAUUCAUUUGCAGCCAAUAGCAGACAAAAUUGUCAACAAGUUGGCAAAGUGGAAGGGAUCUUGCCUCUCAAUUAUGGGCAGAGUUGAGCUUGUUAAAUCUAUAAUUCAUAGCAUGUUAGUUUAUAGCUUUCAUGACUAUAGCUGGCCUGUCAAUAUGCUAAAAAGGAUGGAUAGUUGCAUUAGAAACUUCAUCUGGUCUGGAGAUACUAAGGUCAAAAAACUGGUCACUGUUGCUUGGCAUAAGAUCAAUCAAAUCGAUGAAUCGGGCUGCAAUUCUAAAGUUGGCUUAGGAUAUGAGUUCUUCCUCUCAGGAAUGGGCAGCCUUUUAUAGGAAAAGAUUUUGCAAAGCUUCAAAGCCUAAGUCAAACUUCAUAAAGUCCUAUAUCUGGCCUGAUAUCAAAAAGCAUUGGCACCUGAUCAAAGAUAAUUCAAUCUGGUUGUUGGGAAAUGGGAGCAACAUAAAUUAUUGGUUGGAUAAUUGGCUGGAUAAUUGGCUGGGAAAUCCUUUAGCUGAACUUCUUGGGAUCCCUAAUCAUAUAUCCUCUGAUUUACAGGCUAAGGUUGCUGAUUUCAUCCAUGCUUCUGCUUGGAUAAUCCCUCAUUGGAUGGCCAGGAUGCAUCCUAAUGUGUGUCAACAAAUAAUUCAUACUCCCAUUCCUAGUACAACUUUGGAUGGCAAAAUGGCUUGGUUGCACUCUAGUGAUGAGAUCCUAACUAUGAAAGAGGCCUACCUCUUCACUAAGCCUCCUCAAUCUCAGUAUAACUGGUGCAAGAACAUUUGGUCAAUCUCAAUUCCCCCAUCCAAAUCGUUUGUUACUUGUAGGCUCUUCAACAAUAGAAUGCCAACAUAUGAUAACUUGGAAUCUAGGGGCAAGUCUAUGGCUUCCAUCUGCAAUUUGUGCUGGUCUAAUGUAGAGUCAUCUAACCACUUGUUCUUCAAUUGUACUUUGGCCAAUUUGAUAUGGAACUGGUUAAGUACUCCAUAUGGCUACCAACUUGAUCAUGCUUAUCUUUAAAGCCUCAUGUCUUUCCCUAUACAAUGGAGUCCUCAGUUGAAGCAGGUCUUACUAGCUGGCAUUAUUAAUUCGAUCUCUGCUAUCUGGCACUGUAGGAACAAAGCAAAAUUUGAUAAUUUGUCAAUCUCCAUUGCCCAAGCAACUAUAAAAAUCAAAAUGGACACUUCUUUCAAUGGAAACUACUCUAAGUUGUGUGCUAGGCCUUCUAUGCUAGAAUUUUCAAUACUAAGAGCCUUCAAUGUUAAUUGUAAUUACAACAAGGGCCCAACAAUUGUAGAAGUUAAUUGGACCUUUCCUUCUAUGGUUUGGGUGAAGAUAAACUUGGAUGGUGCAGCAAGGGGCUCCCCAGGGCAUGUAGGGGUGGUGCUAUAUUCAGGGAUGGCCAGGGUGGUUGUGUGGGGUGCUUUGCUUCUUACUUCAACAUUCAAGACUCUCUCUAUGCUGGAGUUCUUGCUGCAAUUAUAGUUGUUCAAGUUACUUAUUCCAAAGGUUGGUAUCUAAUCUGGUUGGAGUGUGACUCCACCUCGGUGGUGGAAAUUUUCAUGGGUAGCAAGCCGGUUCCUUGGAAGCUAAGCAACCUUAUGAACAAGUGCAUGAACACCAUGUUGGAUAUGCAAGUCAAAGUGUCUCACAUAUUUAGGGAAGGGAAUGCUUGUGCAGACAAGUUGGCUAACUUUGCAGUGAAUUCUAGAUCUGAUUCUUGGUGGAAUUAUCCUCCUUCGUUUAUUUAUCAUGAAUUUAAUAGAAAUUUGUUGCUUCUCCCUAACUAUAGGUUUAGGAGCUUGUAAUGGACCUUGAUUUGGCUUUUCUAAUUUAUUUGUGGGUGUAGUUUCCCCCUGCUUAAAAAAAAGACAAAAUUUACUAUUUUCUUUCUUAAAUCUCACGCUUAGAAUACAUGUGAAGUUUUAGAGAUAUACAAAAAAAAAAAAAGAGGAUUGAAUUAUAUUGAUUAACUAUUUUCCAAAAACAAACUUUUCAAAAAUCUUUUAUUAAGCAAUGAAUGGGCAAACAUGUUAAAAUGGUAAGAGACAGUAAAGAAAUCUUCUUGAUUAAUCAAAAAGUUUGAAAGAAUGUAUGAAUAUUGAGUGGAUUGAGUAAAUGUUUACAAUGAAAGUAAACUAUUUAUACAUGGAAAACAAAACUUAAUUAACUAAAACCACUAAAACUAACUCUAACUAUAACUCGACAAAUACAAUAUCAACCAAAUACCAAAAUAUAGUUCAAAAUAUAUUUCAACAGCCCCCUGAAGCUGGAAUAUAUCAUGCAUUCCAAGCUUGAAAUAAUUGUGUUGAAUACGAUUACAUACUCUAGUACCUCCUCUUGUUGGUGAGCGAAUCUUCAUCUCCCGGUCUUGAAAUCAGAAUGCGAAGCAAUAUUAGUGCUUAACCACCAUAGGCAGAGACAACUUCAUCCAAAGCUUAACCAUCUAUCUUGACAGAAGCUUAACCAACCAAACCAACCAUAAUGGAUGAAAGAGAUAAAAACGGAUUUUAAUCUUGAUCCUAAUAUGAUGCUUCAAUGAAGAAAAAUACACACUAAAAAUGAUGUUGUAUGUUUAAUGAGAGAGGUAUAUAAAUAGAGUAUGAAUGAAAUAAAGGGUAAUUGGUGGUUGUGGGCUACUGCUUCCAUUUUUUAACAUGCUUUCAUACUUUACACGAAUGAAAUUCUCAAUUCCAAUUGUAUCAUAAUGUGGAAUUAAUUCUAUUUCUUAAUAACUAUUUGCUUUCUCAUUUCCCAGUGAUUGAAUGAAUGCAACUUGCUCUAGAAGCCAAGUGUUCAGAGUUGCAGAACGAACCAUUGAAAUAGAUAUGCUCAUGAAUACAAGCUAAAGAAUCACAUUGCACCUCAUCGUGAAAAGAUUCCAUCCGUGGAUGUGACUUCAAAGCAAACAAAAAAAAAACCUAAAAAUUCUGGAGGAGCAUAUGGUUCUGCAUCAUCUAAUCUCCCUUAUGCAUGUCCUUAUGAAGGGUGUGAGAAGGCAUACACCCAUGAAUACAAGCUGAAACUUCAUUUGAAAAUGGAGCAUCUGGAUAAUAACGAGCAUGCUUAGGUUAAUGUUGAUAUUGAAAUGGAUGAAGCAAGUGACCAAAGUGCCAAGAUUUACACUAGCCCAUGUUAGACCUUUCACUUUGAAAUCAUCACAUUCCAUGUUAUAUGGUAAUUUAAGAAGUCCUUCCAGUAACUUGUGCUUUCUUACAAGUGGAAGAACCUGAACUUAUUCAUUAUGGAAAUGCCUCUUCAAUCAAAGUCAUCCAUGACCAAUGAAGAACAAUAUAACUUUUGAUGAUAGAAACACAAAUUCUAGCAUGAGAAAGUUAGCAAAGUUUUCAAAGACUCUUGAAAACAGUAUUAAAUUUAAUCCUAUUGUAUUGACUGCUAGCAAAUAUUCAUCAAAAGAGCAAUCAUCCUUCACACAUCUUCUUUUCUUGGCAUUAAGAGAUUUUCUUGGCUAGCUUGCAUAGCUUCAAUUUAUCAUAUGUGCGGGGCUGGCUUUUGGUUGCAUUGAAUGUGCCAAGACCCAAAACAGAUGCACAAGAUUGAAGCAAGAUGGAGAAAGAAGAGGAUGAAAUGGAGGAAUAGAAGUGCGAAAGCCAUGAAAGAGAUAAUUAUUAGCUUUGAUACCAUGUUAAAAUGGUAAGAGACAUUAAAAAAAUAUUCUUGAUUAAUCAAGAAAUUUGAAAGAAUGUGUGAAUAUUGAGUAGAUUGAGUAAAUGAUAGUUUACAAUGAAAGUAAACUAUUUAUACAUGGAAAACAAAACUUAAUUAACUAAAACCAUUAAAACUAACUCUAACUAUAACUCGCCAAAUACAAUAUCAACCAAAUACCAAAAUAUAGUUCAAAAUAUAUUUCAACAGAUUAAAACAUUUUGAUUCUGAUGCAAAUAAUAUUGUAAGAGACAAUACAAUAGUUUUGGAAAAGUUAACUUCUUUAAUAAGUUCAAAUUUAUGCAAUUAAAUAAUAACAAAAUCAAUAAAAAGAAAAACCAACAACACAUUAAUCUAGUAGUGUAAGGUCUCAUUAGAUUGUCAAAGUUGUGAGUUCGAUUACUGAGAGUAACACUUAUUAAGAUGAUAACCACAAACCCAAAAAUAAUUAAUUCCUUACCCAAAAAUGAAGAAAUAUCCUUAAUAAUACCACAAAAAUAAAAAUAAUAAGAAUAGAGAAAACAACACAAUUAUUUGGUUCACUCAACCUGACCUACCACUAGCAACUUCAGCACCAAUUAUUAAAGGAUUUCCCUUUCACCACCUACCAAAACUUAAUCCAUUAUUACUUAGAAUAGUAUAAGUAUUUUUAAAGUAUUAUUUACUAGAAACAUUGUAUUAAAUUUAAAAGAACAUAUUGAUUACUAAAAAUAAAAUAUUCUCAAAAUAAAUAGUCAACAUUGGCAUAUCAAUACCAACAAUAUAUUGAUCUAAUGAUAUAAGACUCUACUAAAUCUCCAGAAUGAUCAAAAUUUUAAGAGUUCGAUUCUUGAUAGUGACAUUUGUAAAAAAUGACGGUUAGACAGUCCAUAAGAGAUUAGUUCAUUAUCCAAAAUAAAAGAAUAUCUUUAAUGAUAUAAAAAAUCAUUCAAUAUCAAUGAGCAUGUAGUACUAUUUAUAAGCAAAAUAUUUUAUUAUAAAAAUAACAUGGAGUACUCAACCUAUCUAACUAAAAUAAUAGUGAUCCUAAUAAAGAAAUGAUACAUCCAAUAGCGGAUUAUGAGGAGCAGUGGGAGGACAAGCACCGUCUCAACUUUUUUUAUUUGCAUAUUAUAUUUUACAUAUAUAUAUAAUAUGAUAGUGUUAGGUAUACAAUAUAAAUUUUAUAAAUUAUUUUAUAAUGAUUUAACUUUCCUUUAUCUAUUCAUUUUCAAAAAAUCAAAGAACAAUUAAAAGUUGUAACAACUUCGUUGUCAAAUAUUUUAUAUUUUGACAAUAACCUAAAAUUUAUAUUAUAACACCCAAUUUUUCAUUAAAGAAAUCUUAAAAAGUACAUAAUAGUCCACAAUCACCAACGUUGCUUUCUUUGUGAAUGGAAAACUCGUAAUAUCUAUAUGAAACACGAUAGUUAAUAUGUAAAGUUUGUCAUCAAGAAGAUACACACAGGUAAAAAAUAAUUAAGAUAGUGAAUUAAGAGAGAACUGCAUAAGAUGAACCAUACCAAAAAUUAAUUGGAUAUAAUAUAUAAAUAAUAGUAACUCAAAUCAUAACUUUUAAAAUAUUAUUUUAUAUGGAUUUCAAUGGGUUAUAGUGUUACCUAUAAUCACCAUUGUAAUCUAAUUCUUUAGUAGCAGUUGUCAACUUUUAAAUCUUAUCACAAAUAAAAAAUUUAAUCAAUCCAAUAUAAAUAUAACUAUAUGUAUCAAUUUUUACUAUUUUAUAAAUUUGAGAGAAUAAUUUAAAUUUUAUGCAACAAAAACCAAAUCUUUUAUCCCAUUAGGUGGGAUCGAGUACAUAGAUCGAACGUCACCAUAAUGCUAUAUCAUAAAUCAUUUUUAUUGACGAAACAUUGACUCUAUGUCACUCUUUAUCAUUUUUGUUAUAGUUUUUCUUGGUCUCUCUCUUCCUCUAGGAAUUAGACUAGUUUUCAUUUUAUAUACUCUUCUUACGAGAGCUUCUAGUCUUCUACGAGUCUCCUCCAUAAUAAGGAAAAAACAUAUAAUUAUAAGGAUAAAGCAAAAUAACCUAUAAGUCUAAAAUAUCAUUUUCAUAGAUUAUGAGGUCUCUUAAUUUAAUUAAUGUUUCUUUUUAAACUGCCACAACAGUUUUGUUUUGAUGGGAAUGUAGAUAAGUGAAAUAUACUGAACAUACAUACUCAUGGCAGUUUAUACUGAAACGUGGGUAACUGGUUUACAUGAUCAUGACAGUUUAUUCUCAUUUCAAACUUGCCCUAAUGGUUUCCAUUUUGUAGGGAGAAAGUGGAUGGACAAUGGCAGAUUUUAUUUUUUAAUAAAUCGUGCACAUAAAAGCUUUGUCACUAUUGUUAAAAGUUGGUUACCCUAUAAAAUAUAAAUCACAUCAUGGUUUCUCAAUAUUUUCUCCCAAUCUUUAUUCUAUCUCAUCUUUUUGCAACCUUCAAGUAUUUCAUACAGUAUUAUUUGUAAUGAUAGUUAUUUCCUACAGUAUUAUUAUAUAUCCAGCAAGUUUUUUCAAACAAUAUUAUUUCGUACAAUAAUGAUAAGUAUUUCUCUUUCAAAUAGUUUCAAUUACAUAAAUAGGUGUUAAUGAUUCUUUCUUUCUAUGUCUGAUGACAACCACUUAGUAUUGCCUUUAUUGUAGGAUCGUUUUAGCUUGAAAGUUUUGAUCUUUUUAGAGUAUAAUUCGGUUUUGGAAAUUUUUAGAAUUUGAGGUUACUUUUUGGUUGUUUUAUGUAGGGUAAUUGGGUAGGAAUGUAUGUGUUUGGGUUUGUAAGUCUUAUGUCACAGUUUGAAUGUGUAGUUUAGGGUUUUGUAGAAUUUGGGUCCGACAGCAGUCCAAAAACUUUUCAUCACAGAAAAUUACGAAAAUUUACCACAAAAUAGGAAUUUACAACACAAGACUAACACUCAACUACGGUUUAGCCUAAUUCAUUACCGAUUCAUUUAUAAAAUUAAUAUUUGUUAAAAGUAAAUAACUAAUAAAAUAUAUCGAAUUUUAACGGUGUUAUACUCUCUAAAAAUAUGGUUGACCAUAAUUUGCAUAGAUUUCAUGAUCUCUCUACAAUUUUUCAUGAAGUUGCUUAGCCUCCAAGGAACCUUUUUGCUGCCAUGAAAUAUGUCCUCCACCAUUGUAGAGUCACACUCCAACCAAGUAGAAUUCCAACCUUUUGAGUGAGCAAUUUUCACUACCAAUAUUGCUGCAAGCAGCUCUUCAUAGAGAGAAUUUUGAAUGUUAAAAUAAGAGACAAAACAGCCCAGAAAACUACCAUUACUAUCCCUGAAAAUUCCACCCCCUCUUACAUGUCUAGGACAACCAUGCGUAGCACCAUCCAAAUUAACUUUCACCUAACCCAUUGAUGGAACUUUCCACAUAACCUCAGAAAUCAUAGGAGCCCUGCUGUAGUUGCAUUUAAUAUUGAAGGCUGAUAAGUGCAAAAAGUAUAUACUUUUCACCAUCAUUUUAUGGCACUUAUCCUAUGCAAAUUGAGAAAACCCAACUUAAAAACAAUACUUUUUGGAUAAAAUAUCACAAUCUUGUAUAUUUGUGUUUGUAUUUCUCUUUAAUGUGUUUUGUAGGAUUUAGAAAGAAAAGGAAAAGAUAAUAAAGACUCAUGAUCCAAGAAGAAAACGAAGUCAAACUCAAGGUGCUCAAGCAGGCAGCUUAGCAUGGACCAAGCUACACUGAGUUGACCUGGACACCAGUGUGGCACAGUCAGACCCAACCUGGCUCAGUCAAACUAACCUGUCACAGACCAAGUUGCUGAAACAGGCAGCUUAGCGGACCUGCUUGACCGCUCAGCCUAGCACCAGACAAAGUCUGACACGGUCAGAACACAAGCCCAACCCACGCCUAAGCUGCUCAAGCAAGCAGCUCAGCGGUGCCACAUGUGUGCUCAGUGGUGAACCAAACACCUGACCAGGUCAGCAAGCACCAAGUCACGUCUCAGUCAGCACGAUCAAAGCUGCUCAACUAGGCAGCUUAGCGGUGCCACAUAUAUGCUCAGCGGUGUGCACCCAAAAUUAACUUAGCCAUGAAGAAACCAUGAAGUCAUGCAUGAACUCGCUUCAAGUAGCCCACCAUAGGCUUUUCAGGAGUAGCUCACCAUAGCUGGUCCCACAGCUCACAACUAGCCUUGGUGAGUCAAGCUUAAGGAGGUGACCAAGCUAUUUGACCAAGUGACCAAACCCAUGCUGAAGGGUUUGGUCAGCUGCUGAGUGGUGCAAAGAAGCAGCUGAGCGCCCAACACCUUGGCCUAUAUACAGACAUGAAAUUCUCAUUUGUAAACAUUGUACAUACAUUCUAAAUUCUUCCUAGUUUAUUAUUAAUCUUAAUUAAAAAGAUUAUGAAAAUGAACGGCUAAAGUUUAUUAGAAAUUAAAACUAAAAACGUAGUUCUUAUACACUACUUCAACAUCAAUUAUUAAUAUAAAUUUUUACAGUAAUAUAAUGGAACAUCAAUUAUUAAUUUUUAUCCUUCCUAACAUGUUGACCUGCACUCCGUGUUAGUUACCCGCAUUCUUAUUUUUUCUGAUAUAGAAUGUAUCAUCUUCAUCUUAUAUUGUUUAAGAAAAAACAAUUUAAAUAAAAUAAAUAUAUAUAAAGUCAAUAGAGAGUGAAAAUUUAAGAAAAUAACAUGUGGUAGUUGAUAUAAUAUACAUACAAUUUAUGAGAAUUUCUCAUAUUGUGCCUCUAAUAAUCAUUAUAGAGUUGUUAUGUGAAUUUGUCAUUUUGUGUGUUCUUUUUGUGUUGAGAAGAGAGAAGAUAGAAAUUAGAUAAAGUGUGGAAUAUUAAUGAUGUGCUAAAUAUAAAAAAUAAAAGCAAUGAAAAUAAUGUGUGAAAGUUUACAGUAGUUAUUAAUAAUAUAAAAUAGUAUGUUUGGAAUAUAAAAAUUAUGCCAUGGUGGUGGUUAUUAUUUGUUUUCCCUUUAUUAAUUGUAUAGAAGUAUAGAAAUAGAAUCAUCUUCAUUUAUAUUGUUUAAGAAAAAAAAUUAAAUAUAAGAAAUAUAUAUAAACUCAAUAGAGAAUGAAGAUUUAAGAAGAUAACAUGUGGUAGUUGAUAAGAUAUACAUAAAAUUUAUGAGAAUUUCUCAUUUUGUGCCUAUAAUAAUCAUUAUAGAGUUGUUAUGUGAAUUUCUCAUUUUGUGUUUCUUUUUGGGUUGAGAAAGAGAGAAGAUAGAAAUAAGAUAAGGUGUGGAAGAUUAAAGAUAUAUUAAAUAUAAAAAAUGAAAGCAGUGGAAGUUUAUAGUAAUUAUUAAUAAUAUAAAAGAAUAAGUUUGAAAUAUAAAAAUUAUGCAUUCGUAUGAUUAUUACUUAUUUUGUCUUAUUAAUAGUAUAGAUAUAGAUUAAUAAUAUUAUAAAUAUUUACUAUUUUUGUACGAUUAAUUAAAUAAAAUUGUAUCAUUAUCUCUCAUUUAUUACUUUUGAUAUAUUAUGGGCAUUAAUAUUACUAAAUUUGGUCCAAUCAUGGGCUCAUUCAAGUUAUUUGGUCAAUAGUUCAAUUAUUACGUCCUAGUUGGACUAAUUAAAUUGGUUUAAUUAAAAAAUAUUUAAAAAAUAUUUUUUAUACUAUAUAUAAAGGGAAAGUAUGGUGUAACUACCCAUUGUGUAAUUUUUGUUUUCCUAUUUUGCCCUUAACACUUUAAUUUCUAGAAAAAANNNNNNNNNNNNNNNNNNNNNNNNNNNNNNNNNNNNNNNNNNNNNNNNNNNNNNNNNNNNNNNNNNNNNNNNNNNNNNNNNNNNNNNNNNNNNNNNNNNNAAUUAAAAUAAAGACAAAAAUAUAAUAUAAAGUAAACUCAAUAAAGAUUACAAUAUAAAAUUCAUUCAAUACAAAAAAUAUUAUGAUUCACCAAAAUAAAAUAUAUAAAACUUAAAAUAUUUGAUACCAGAAAGUAAAAGUAUAGGUUGUCAGGUACAAAGUAUAUAUCGUCACAGUAGUAAUAAUAACUAACAUUAUUAAAUUACUAUGAGAUGAGUACAUAAUGAAGCAAUCCUCAAAGAAGAUUUUACUGAAAUAAAAUAUGAGAAACAAUUCGAAAUAUUAUCAAACAAUAUAAGCUCAUCGACAGGACUCUGUUUGUGGGAGUUUCCUCCGGAAGGAGCGAUUACUAUUUUAAUAUGGAUCUCUAGAGUUAAUUUGUUUUAUUUUUUCCAAUGUACCAAAAAAUAUAGGCUUUACAUUUUAAUCACAACAAAAGCAGACAAAUAAGAGUAAAGCUUAAUUAAACAACUAUGACAUUGUUACAACAUAAGCUAAUAAAUGAGAAACAAAACUCUAAUAGCGAGUACAAAAAUAAUUUGAAAGUAUGAGAUUCUAUUUCCUCCAAAGAUAACAUCGUUUAAUUUUGAUUUUAUAAAUAAUAAAUUGAUUGAUUGGACUAGUUCAAUCGACUGAGUUAUCGAUUUUAUCCAAAAAUAAUUGAGUUAUACUGACUUGGUUCAUGAUUGUUCAAGUGGGCGACUCUGACCAAUUAGAUGUUUGUUAUAAGUCAUACGAGUUAGUCAGAGCCAAGUUUAAUAAUAUUGUACUCAAUAUACCUUGUAAUCUUUGAUUACGUGUCCUGAAUCUGACACCAAAUAAAAGUAUAGAUAUUUUCUUUUAUUAUCAGUGGGAGAAAAUUAUAUAUGCACAACAUAAAAAGGAAGAAUAACAAAAGUAGAAAAGGGAAGUUUAUUAAAAUCUUUUGAUCAUCCUCCAACUUUAUUCUCAACCAACACUACAUAGGAGUAAUAUAUAUGAGAUACUCAUAAUUUAAACAUUUUAUUUGUGAGUUGGAGUACAUGAUUUUAAUAACUUGCUAUCCAAGCAUAGGAACCCGCUUAACAAAUCCGUCAUCAUCAACCCAAACCCAGACUCUGUCACAUAUGAGGUCAGGGAUAACUAAGACAUUAUGCACGAUCCUAACUUCCCGGACGCGAGGAUUCUCUUUCUUAAUAAUACUCACUGCCACUUCUCCUUUCACUCCAACUAACUCAGGCCAUCUUUCUUUACCUGCAUAUAAUUAACUCCAAAUUAUAUAUAAACACAUUUCCAUAUUUGAUAAUAAGAUUAAUAACUCUUAUAUAUAUACAUAUAUGUGUAUAUAUAUAUGUAUAUGUAUAUGUAUGUGUAUAUUUGAUAUUACUAACCUUUGCCAUGGCAGUUAUCCAUUUUCAACUACUAUCAACUCAGCUAUUUGGAAACAAUAUGUUUUUUGUUUUCUUCAAAAGCAACUCUACUGUUUGUGAAAUAGUUCGUUGUAAUAUCCGGGGUAUUUAUAGUGGUUUUUGGUGUCAAUCUUAUCCUUAUAGCUGGCUAGCAAUGCAUUUUUUUAAUUUUUUUAAUUUUUUUAAUUGUUUUUGUCAUUUUCAAUAUUCUAAUGUAAUUUACAAUAUAAUUAAAAUCAAGAUUGAAUACACUAACUAUUUGGUAACGUUGGAUUAUAAGCUAUAUCUUACAAAGGUCAAAGAUUUUAAACACUGUUCAAAAUAAUGUUGGAGAAAAACAAUAACAUACCCUAAAAUAGUUUAUUUGUUUAUCCAUAUUUUUAAGUAUUACUAAGGGUAUCUCCUUACCUUUGGGUAUGGAACUAAUUAUUUUUGGGGUGUAUGACUGUCCUUCCUAACAACUAUCGCUCUCAGGAAUCGAACUUUUAACAUUUUGAUUAAUUUGGACUAUGAAGGUUUGUGCCAAAUAUGAAACAACUCAUUUUUUAUAUGAUAAAUAUGUUAUUGUGUUUUAUUCUUUUUGAAAUUUAUAAUGUUGUCAAUUAUUAUUAUUCUAUGCAUAAAUAUGUUCAAUAUUUUAUUAAUCGUAAUAAUCAUUGUUUUAUAUUUAUUAUAUAAUUGGUGUGUGAUUGAAAUAAGACUCUCACUUAGAGUGAAAAAUAUAAAACCGUUUAACGGAAAGUAUAUCGUAUUCUCUCACAAUUUAUAUGAAACGAUUUUUGUUCAAAAUUUAUUAUAAAAAUAUUAUUUAAUUAAAUAUUUAUGAUAUAUAAUGAAUGUUAAUUUUUAUUUUAGAGUAAAUUACACCGACACCCCCUAAAUUGUAGUGAAACUAUACAAACUACCCUUCACUUUUUUACACAUACACAAACCUCCCCUAAUUUUUAUACUUUCGUUACACUAAUCACCCCCACAUAGCAUAAGAAAUAAGUGUAAUAUUUUAAACAAAAAUAUGAUAAAUGCAAUUAAAUUAAACAAAACAUAAUAUAUUGUGGAGACAAGUCCAAAUAAUAUAUGAGUCAAUAUUUCUUUAUUAUUUUUGGUUCGUUACAAUAUAUUAUAACAGCGAUUUAAACAAUAUUUCUAUAGAAUUGUUUAUGCAUUUGUAACCAAAAAUAAUAAACAUAUAUUGAUUUGUAUAUUAUUUAAUGAUCAACUUAACUUUUAUUAAUGAUCAAACAAAAUAUAACUAAGCAAUCUCCUUUGCUGAAUGAACAAACUCUGAACAAAGAACUACAAGUAUUAUUACAUUUGUCACAUAUCAUUUCUAUAAACUCAAAAAAAUCACUAUUAUUCAUGUUAAAGGUUCUUGCGUGUAAUAAGAGAUAUGAAGGUUUUAAGAAAAUUUUGACGGUUGAAAACGUUCGUAACAUAUGUAUAAACAUCAUACUCAAAUAUCGUAAACAAUGAAUGGCUAGAUUUUCUAAAAGAUGAAGAACAAGCAUGAGAGUUUAACUUAGUGUUCUUGAGAAAAUUCAAAGGCAUAAGAACUGCAAUGCAAUGUAGAGCCAAGGGUUUCUCAAGGGGGCUGUGCUCUUUUUAAAGUGUCAUGGUUCGGAUUUUUGAGAAGCAAGCCAAUGGUAGCAAGAGGUUUUAUGGCUCUUUUAAGUGGAAUAAAUCAGAUUUAGGGAGAAUUGAAUCUGAUUUAUGGAGGUAAAUGAAGGGUUUCCAAGAUUAUUGGUGCAAUGGGUAAGUGAAUGGUUUGAGGGGUUUAGUGUAAAAGAUGAGUAUUUUUGCUUGUUUGGCCAGCAAGUUUCACUCAGGAACAUGAGGUGAAUUUUUCUAAGAAACAUUCGCGAUAAGACCAUGCCCGAGUAUUGUCGGCUAAUACUCGGCUGGACGUUAAAAUCUUAUGAUUACGAUUAGAAUUUCAAAUGCUGAAUUCGGAGUGAAAAAUAUUUACAAAUGUGUUUUGGACAAACUUGAUGUAUAUCCUGACUCGAAUUAAUAUUUCAAAGCUAAUGGCGCAAUCAGAAUUCGAUUCCGAUCUACGGAACUCAAAAACACGUUUUUGGGCCGAAUUCGGGCGAAUUUGGGUCCGACAGCAGUCCAAACACUUUUCAUCACAGAAAAUUACGAAAAUUUACCACAAAAUAGGAAUUUACAACACAAGACUAACACUCAACUACGGUUUAGCCUAAUUCAUUACCGAUUCAUUUAUAAAAUUAAUAUUUGUUAAAAGUAAAUAACUAAUAAAAUAUAUCGAAUUUUAACGGUGUUAUACUCUCUAAAAAUAUGGUUGACCAUAAUUUGUAUAGAUUUCAUGAUCUCUCUACAAUUUUUCAUGAAGUUGCUUAGCCUCCAAGGAACCUUUUUGCUGCCAUGAAAUAUGUCCUCCACCAUUGUAGAGUCACACUCCAACCAAGUAGAAUUCCAACCUUUUGAGUGAGCAAUUUUCACUACCAAUAUUGCUGCAAGCAGCUCUUCAUAGAGAGAAUUUUGAAUGUUAAAAUAAGAGACAAAACAGCCCAGAAAACUACCAUUACUAUCCCUGAAAAUUCCACCCCCUCUUACAUGUCUAGGACAACCAUGCGUAGCACCAUCCAAAUUAACUUUCACCUAACCCAUUGAUGGAACUUUCCACAUAACCUCAGAAAUCAUAGGAGCCCUGCUGUAGUUGCAUUUAAUAUUGAAGGCUGAUAAGUGCAAAAAGUAUAUACUUUUCACCAUCAUUUUAUGGCACUUAUCCUAUGCAAAUUGAGAAAACCCAACUUAAAAACAAUACUUUUUGGAUAAAAUAUCACAAUCUUGUAUAUUUGUGUUUGUAUUUCUCUUUAAUGUGUUUUGUAGGAUUUAGAAAGAAAAGGAAAAGAUAAUAAAGACUCAUGAUCCAAGAAGAAAACGAAGUCAAACUCAAGGUGCUCAAGCAGGCAGCUUAGCAUGGACCAAGCUACACUGAGUUGACCUGGACACCAGUGUGGCACAGUCAGACCCAACCUGGCUCAGUCAAACUAACCUGUCACAGACCAAGUUGCUGAAACAGGCAGCUUAGCGGACCUGCUUGACCGCUCAGCCUAGCACCAGACAAAGUCUGACACGGUCAGAACACAAGCCCAACCCACGCCUAAGCUGCUCAAGCAAGCAGCUCAGCGGUGCCACAUGUGUGCUCAGUGGUGAACCAAACACCUGACCAGGUCAGCAAGCACCAAGUCACGUCUCAGUCAGCACGAUCAAAGCUGCUCAACUAGGCAGCUUAGCGGUGCCACAUAUAUGCUCAGCGGUGUGCACCCAGAAUUAACUUAGACAUCAAGAAACCAUGAAGUCAUGCAUGAACUCGCUUCAAGUAGCCCACCAUAGGCUUUUCAGGAGUAGCUCACCANNNNNNNNNNNNNNNNNNNNNNNNNNNNNNNNNNNNNNNNNNNNNNNNNNNNNNNNNNNNNNNNNNNNNNNNNNNNNNNNNNNNNNNNNNNNNNNNNNNNUGUAAAUUGUAAAAUAGUAAAGUGUUAUCAAUAAAUUUAUUUGUUGAAACACCUUUUAAUAUACAAAAAGUGAUGAAACUAACUUAUUAACUUUUAUUUAUUGUUAUUUACAUUCCGCAAUUUAUUUAUUCUUUAAUACCAACCUUCCUUAAGGAAGAAGUUUGGUUUGUUAACAAAAUGAACCCUAAAGGGAGUAAAUAAAUAAAGUUCACUUAAAUUUAUUAUUAUUUUCUUCUUUAUUUAUUUAUUUGCUUCUAACAACUGACUAUUCAUCACUUUUGUACAUUAAAAUAUCAUUAAACCGGUGUUGGAAUUUAUUCCACAAAACCGACAUGGUAUUCAAAGGUACUUAAUAAUGAUGUAAUAGGGAAUUGCUUCGAUACCAUUCUACCGGCGUUAUAAUCUAUUCUAACAAAGCCGAGAUAGGGCAAAGAAUGAAUAACUUAUUCACAUGAUUAUUAGAAGUAAGUUGUAACUGGAAUAUUCUUGAAACCAUUAUACCGUCGUUGGAAUUUAUUUCAACAAAGCCGAGAUGACGAACAAAGAAUAAAACCGAGUUCACUUACUUAACCAAAUAAAGGAAACACACCGAAGAGAAAUCUCGCUUUCAACAAAUUGGCGCUGCUGCCAGGGACAAUUUGUUGAGGGGGAAAACUUCUAAAAGAUCCUUUCAACAAAGGCCUUCAACAAUAGAACUCUGCUAAGGAAUUUUUAGCACAGAUCUUGCUAAAGUUCCUAGUGAAAGCAGUGCCCACUUUAAUUCUUGUCCUUGCUUGGUAGAGGCUGAUUGCAAUGUCCUCAAAUCUAGACAUAUUCUUACAAUACCAAAUAGAGGAGAUUGCAUUUAUAAUGCAAGAAACCAACACGUCCUUAACCAAAGGACUCCAACUGUUAGAGAUUAGAAAGAGGCUAUUAAUUGAGGAAUUGUCCAAAAUACAACCAAUCUGGCUUCCUACCCAAAUCCAAAUAGCUCUAGAAAAAGUGCAAUUAAAAAGCAAGUGAGAAGAUGAUUCUUCAUUGGCCAUGCAAAGAUUGCAUAUGGAUCCCAUAGACAAUCCUCUAGCUUUUAAGUUCACAUCAGUUGGCAUUUUGUUGUUAUAAAGCCUCCAAGUAAGAAAGGAUUUAGAUGGAGGAAUUGCAACUGACCAAAUCAACUUCACCAAUUUGGUUGGUUUGACAUUGGUUUGGUGAAUAGGUAGGCCUCUUUCAUAGUAAGUAUGUCAUUAGUAGAAUGCAUCCAAGCUAACUUGUCUAUUUGGUUGGCAUUAGAAAUAGGCAAGCUGAUUAUAGAGUUGCAAACCUUAGGAUGCAACCUUGCUAACCAAGAAGGAAUUAUCCCGGAAGAGUCUUGAAUGAAGUUAGCCACCCUAGCCAGUAAAAAUGAUGAAGUUUGAGCUGGGAUGCCAAGAUAGUCAGCUAAAGGAUAGCCAAGCAAAUUAUCCAUCCAAUAGUUAAUUUGAUUACCCUUUCCCACCAACUAGAUUGAAUUCUAGUGAGCAAGUGCCAAAACUUCUUGAUUCCAAGCCAAAUAGAAGACUUAGUAUAAGAUGUUGUAGGUCUUGAACCUCUACAAAAUCUAUUCCUGUAAAAAAUAGCCCAAUCAUUAGAGGAGGAUUUCAUUUCCCAAGCAAGAUUUAGAAUUGAAGCUUGAUUCAUAGUUGUGAUUGAUCUUAUCCCAAGCCCUCUCCUUAACAGGAGUGCAAACCUUAUGCCAAGCUACAGUUACUUGUUUUCUAACUUGAGUGUCUCCAGACCAAAUGAAGUUUCUAAUGCAGCUAUCCAUCCUCCUUAGCAGAUUGACAUGCCAAUUGUAAACAUGAAUGCUAUAUAUUAACAUGCUAUAGAUGAUAGACUUAACAAGCUCAACUUUGGCCAUAAUUGAGAGGGAAGAACCUUUCCACUUAGCCAACUUGUUCACUAUUUUAUCAGUUAUAGGUUGUAAGUGGAUGGCUUUAGGAUUUCCCUUGAACAAGGAAACUCCAAGGUAAGUGAAAGGCAAAAGACCAGCACCAAAGCCCAACCAGUUUGUAAGAUUGGUUACUUUCCUUGCAGAAGCUUGAGUAGUGUAAAACUUACAUUUAUUAAGAUUUAGUCUUUGCCCUGAGCCAUAAUGGCAUCAGAAGUAUUCAAGUCCAACACCCCUCUCUUUUUUAUUGUCCUUCUAUUAUGUUGAGUCUGUCGAUCUAUAGCAGAUAAUGCAGUAAUAAUUCUGGUGGCUUGCUCAACAUCCACUAUCAUCAAGGUACCACCAGCUACGGCAUCCAAUAUCAUCUUAGUCUAUGGCUUCAACCCAUUACGAAAGAUAUUUAGUUGGUCAACAUCUUCAAUCUCAUGCCUCAUAAAAAGCUUCCUCAACACCUUGUCUGAAUGUUGAGAUUUCAAGCUUUGCAUGCACAUACCUCGUCGGAGGGAAAAAUCUUGUUAAGAACUUUGUUUCCAAAUGACUCCAAUUGGUCAAGUUUUGGGUUGGGUGUGAUUUUAGCCAUUCCUUAGCUUCACAAAGGAGGAAAAAUGGAAAUAGCAUCAUGUAUGCAGCUUCCUUCUCAGUGUCAGAGUACCCCACAGUGGCCACCAUCUCAUAGAAAUUAUCCAAAUGAGCAUAUAGAUCUUCAUAAUCCUUCCCCUGAACUGAUGAGCAUUGAUUAGAUUCAGAUAUGCAGGCUUGAUUUCCAUUGUCUUGGCGGUGUGUGGAAUCACGAUGCUAAAGUAGUGUCGAGGACCUUGAUACAUAGCAUAAUCUCCUAAUGUCCUCCUUGGAGGAUUAAGCCUUGGGUUAUUAUCAGCAUCAUUAUUGAUAUUUUCCAUCUUCUCUGACUGAGAUUUUGAAAUUGUAGGAACUGUAGCCGGUUCAGAGCUACACUAUGCUUCCUGAGGACCUUGUUGUCUCUUCUCUUUUACUUUCUUCCGGUUACUUUUAGCAGACUUCUCAAUCUCUGGAUCGUGUUGUAGUUGCUCUUCUUUAGAUUUACCUCACAAAAGCAUAAAUAAGAAGACUACAGCAAAGGUUAUCACAAGGGUUAACACUAUACUACAAAGAAUUAAAGAAUAGCUAUGUACAAAACUCAAUAAACUCUAUAAAGAACUAAUGUAAAUCUCUCAUUGCUCCCCGACAGCGGCACCAAAAACUUGUUAGAUAUUUAUGGAAUGACAAGCGUACUGUAUCGUCUAAGUAAUAAAAUCCGGUAAAAUACCGAGAUAUCGUCCUUAUGGAGCAGACUAGAUUUAAACUAAUUCCUACAAGAAUAAAUUGAGAAUAUAUUUACAAUGAUGUUUUUAUAAAAUUUUGUAUUUGGUUGUGAAAAAUCAUAAAUUGAACGAGAAACAAUUAAAAUAAACUAGGAUCGAAAUGCAUCGUUCUUUCCCAUUGACAUCCAUGGAUUCAAUUCCAAGUGACUUGUGUAGUUACUGAUUCAGAUGCACAUAUCAUUCAAAUCAUUCACAUCAAUCCUUUGAGUGUAAAAUCCUUAGAUAAUCACUCAAAUACCAAUUCCUUGGAUAUUUGACCAAUUAACUUGCAUUAAGUUCCAUGUAAAAGCAAUUCAUGCAUCAUUGUUCAUUCCUAGAGCAAUGAUUAUGAAGGAAGAUGAUCUAGGUUCGGUAUCAAGUUUAACUUCCCAAUUAAACUUGAACCCAAGAACAAGAAAUUAGUAGCAAAGUAAAUUCAUGCAUUAAGAACGGGCUGAACUUCCCAAAAUCAAAUAACAAUUACAACAUAAUCGAAUCCAGGAGUACAAAGGUUAGAAUAUUACAUUUUGAAACCCAGAGCAAGAUCUAAUCAUUCCUUCUUGCUAUUGCAACGCUCGAAUCAUGAAAUUAUACAAGGCAUAAUGCGAAGUAGAAUCGUUUCCACGAUUUCUAUCCUAAUCUCCCUGUGUUUCUCUCUAUUUUCAUGCUAAAGAUGCUUUAGAAGUGUUUCAAUAACCUUCCCUGUUUUCCAGAACUGCCUAUAUCAAGUUCCAAUUACUACCCUUUCGCUCAAUCUAAGGAUUCUCGCUUGAGCGAGAGAAAGUACCCUUCCCUCGCAUGAACACCUCGCUUGGGCGAGGGAGAAACAAUGGGUAUUAGGUUUUUGACCUUCAAUUGGUGCUUGGGCGAGGGGUGUCAGUAUUUUCUAGUGAAUUUCUUCUCUAUUAUGGCUUGAGAGACCAUUCCCUCGCUUGGGCGAGACUUGUGUUGUUAAGAAACUCGUUAUUCUCUUUUUUUUCUCCUUUGUUCAUCAUUUCUAAACCUACAAACAACAAAACACAAGUAAUUUCCUGAACAAUAUAAGAUUAGCUAAGUUAUUGAAAAUUGUAUGUAAUGACAACAUAAUUACGCGCUAAGUGCCCCAAAAGCAUAUUAAUUUCCUUAACAAUUUGGCACUUAACAAACUUCCCCCAACCUAGAAUCUUGCUUGUCCUCAAGCAAAGUAACAAAAUGCAGCUCAGUUCAAAGUAUCUGAUUUUUCAAAAAUAAUCAUUCAUCCAAUCAUGGCAUAGCUAGAAUCAUUCAUUUACCAUUCACAAAGACAUGUUUCAUGAUCAAUCAUAGUGGACCAAGUUCCAACUAAUAACAGAAUGCACAGGCAGUUCAAUUUCAAACAGAAUAGCAAGAAUAACUACUCAGUUCAAUCAAAGGAAAUGCUUACGCGGAUAGAUUGGCAAAGUUUGGAAUAUCAUCAAAAAUUACACUUGGUGGAACUCGAUUCCUACUUUUAUACAACAUGAUUGCUAUAGAAAAUGGUUGGGUCUUCCUAAUUCACAAACUUGUAAUAGUUUUCCUCUUGUACUUGAUCUAAUGUUGUUAAUCUACUUGUUCGGUGCUUAGGCACUUUUGCUUUAAAAAAAAGUGUGGUUCUUUUAAAAAUUAUACAUAAUGGAUCAAGUUCUCUUACAUGUUUAAAUGAUGAUAUUGCUUAUAAUAACAUGACCUCAUUUGAGUUCAUAAUCAUUUUACACUUCAUCAAAGAAAUUAUAUAUGUAUUAAUAAUAUAUACUCUAAUGAUACUUAUAAGUCAUUUAAUUUUGAUAAUAUAUAAAAUAUAUGUCCAAAAUUUCUAUUCAAUGAGUUUCAAUGAGCAAUGAAGAUUAGUUUGAGAUCUCAAUAUCAAUAUUUUAUUAUUGGUCUUUUUAGCCAUUCAAGUUUGAAAAAAUUUCUAGUGUAUGUCAUUAGUUAUAUCUUGCAUUGUUAAUUAUUUCGUCUUAUUUUAUAUAUUGUGGUUCAUCUACUAUAUAUAUAUAUAAUUUUCGAAAAUCAAUUAAACAAAAUUACAUAGUAACAUAGAUUAUGAAUUUCUUGCAGAUAACAUAGUGAUUUAUAAUGAACAAGAAAUAAUGAAAUUUUUUAUCUAUGGUCUCAUCAUAUAUGCUUCUCUAUAUUUUCAGUAUUCAAUUAGUUUAAUUAUAAAUUGUAAUUAAAUAUUAUUCUCCCUUAUAAAAAAUUUAUCAAGACCGGCCACUAAUGGAGGGUGAAUUAAUAAAAAGUGCCCUCUUUCAUUUCACCUUUUCUUUAAAUGUCUACGGUUUUAUUCUUAUCGUAGUUAUAUUAUGCAGUUAUACUAUUUUUAUAGUUGUUUUUAUAAGGUAUUUUAUAUUUUUAUGAAUCAUAUAUUAUAAUUCAUUUGCCUAAUUAAAACUUUUAUUAUCUUUAGUUUUUUUGUCAUUAAUGAAAAAUAUUUUAAUCUUAUAAUAUAUAUAAAAAACAAGAAAAAUAACUAUUUUUCAUAUUUGCAAUUUAGAUGCAAGUGUUUUUAUAAUAUUCAAUGAAUAUACAUUUUAAGGUUGUUUCUAAUAUAUCCGCUGUAUGCAUAGGAUAAAGAAACCUAAGAAGCAUUCCUUUCAUUCUAUAAUAACAUUUAUUAUCAAGGUUUAUUCAAACUUUUUCGCAUAUUAUCAUAUAGCUUUUAUUAGUUAAUUCUAUUUUCUUUUGUAUAAUAACAUUUAUUAACAUAUAGAUUUUAUUAGUUAUUUCUAUUUUCUUUUGUAUUGAGAAAUAAAAAUUGGUUUUUAGUCAAAAUAAUAAAAUACUCCUUAAUGAUACUUUAAUAUUUAUACAUUAAUCUUAAUUAAAAAGAUUAUGAAAAUGAACGGCCAAAGUUGAUUAGAAAUUAAAACUUAGUUCUUAAACACUACUUCAACAUCAAUUAUUAAUAUAAAUUUUUACAAUAAUAUAAUGAAACAUCAAUCAUUAAUUUUUAUCCUUCCUAACAUGUUGACCUGCACUCUGUGUUAGUUAACCGCAUUCUUAUUUUUUCUGAUAUAGAAUGUCUCAUCUUCAUCUUAUAUUGUUUAAGAAAAAACAAUUUAAAUAAUAUAAAUAUAUAUAAACUCAAUAGAGGGUGAAAAUUUAAGAAAAUAACAUGUGGUAGUUGAUAUAAUAUACAUAAAAUUUAUGAGAAUUUCUCAUAUUGUGCCUCUAAUAAUCAUUAUAGAGUUGUUAUGUGAAUUUCUCAUAUUUUGUGUGUUCUUUUUGUGUUGAGAAGAGAGAAGAUAGAAAUUAGAUAAAGUGUGGAAUAUUAAUGAUGUGUUAAAUAUAAAAAAUGAAAGCAAUGAAAAUAAUGUGUGAAAGUUUACAAUAGUUAUUAAUAAUACAAAAAAAUAAAUUUGGAAUAUAAAAAUUAUGUCACGGUGGUGGUUAUUACUUGUUUUCUCUUUAUUAAUUGUAUAGAAGUAUAGAAAUAGUAUCAUCUUCAUUUAUAUUGUUUAAGAAAAAAAAUUAAAUAUAAGAAAUAUAUAUAAACUCAAUAGAGAAUGAAGAUUUAAGAAGAUAACAUGUGGUAGUUGAUAAGAUAUACAUAAAAUUUAUGAGAAUUUCUCAUUUUGUGCCUAUAAUAAUCAUUAUAGAGUUGUUAUGUGAAUUUCUCAUUUUGUGUUUCUUUUUGGGUUGAGAAAGAGAGAAGAUAGAAAUAAGAUAAGGUGUGGAAGAUUAAAGAUAUAUUAAAUAUAAAAAAUGAAAGCAGUGGAAGUUUAUAGUAAUUAUAAUUAAUACAAAAGAAUAAGUUUGAAAUAUAAAAAUUAUGCAUUGGUAGUGAUUAUUACUUAUUUUGUCUUAUUAAUAGUAUAGAUAUAGAUUAAUAAUAUUAUAAAUAUUUACUAUUUUUGUACGAUUAAUUAAAUAAAAUUGUAUCAUUAUCUCUCAUUUAUUACUUUUGAUAUAUUAUGGGCAUUAAUAUUACUAAAUUUGGUCCAAUCAUGGGCUCAUUCAAGUUAUUUGGUCAAUAGUUCAAUUAUUACGUCCUAGUUGGACUAAUUAAAUUGGUUUAAUUAAAAAAUAUUUAAAAAAUAUUUUUUAUACUAUAUAUAAAGGGAAAGUAUGGUGUAACUACCCAUUGUGUAAUUUUUGUUUUCCUAUUUUGCCCUUAACACUUUAAUUUCUAGAAGAAAUCAUACUAUCAUAUGUAAUCACUAAAAACAUAAUAAUCACCCUCUCACAUUCAUUUAAAAAUUAAAAUAAAGACAAAAAUAUAAUAUAAAGUAAACUCAAUAAAGAUUACAAUAUAAAAUUCAUUCAAUACAAAAAAUAUUAUGAUUCACCAAAAUAAAAUAUAUAAAACUUAAAAUAUUUGAUACCAGAAAGUAAAAGUAUAGGUUGUCAGGUACAAAGUAUAUAUCGUCACAGUAGUAAUAAUAACUAACAUUAUUAAAUUACUAUGAGAUGAGUACAUAAUGAAGCAAUCCUCAAAGAAGAUUUUACUGAAAUAAAAUAUGAGAAACAAUUCGAAAUAUUAUCAAACAAUAUAAGCUCAUCGACAGGACUCUGUUUGUGGGAGUUUCCUCCGGAAGGAGCGAUUACUAUUUUAAUAUGGAUCUCUAGAGUUAAUUUGUUUUAUUUUUUCCAAUGUACCAAAAAAUAUAGGCUUUACAUUUUAAUCACAACAAAAGCAGACAAAUAAGAGUAAAGCUUAAUUAAACAACUAUGACAUUGUUACAACAUAAGCUAAUAAAUGAGAAACAAAACUCUAAUAGCGAGUACAAAAAUAAUUUGAAAGUAUGAGAUUCUAUUUCCUCCAAAGAUAACAUCGUUNNNNNNNNNNNNNNNNNNNNNNNNNNNNNNNNNNNNNNNNNNNNNNNNNNNNNNNNNNNNNNNNNNNNNNNNNNNNNNNNNNNNNNNNNNNNNNNNNNNNAUAUAUAUACAUAUAUGUGUAUAUAUAUGUAUAUGUAUGUGUAUAUUUGAUAUUACUAACCUUUGCCAUGGCAGUUAUCCAUUUUCAGCUACUAUCAACUCAGCUAUUUGGAAACAAUAUGUUUUUUGUUUUCUUCAAAAGCAACUCUACUGUUUGUGAAAUAGUUCGUUGUAAUAUCCGGGGUAUUUAUAGUGGUUUUUGGUGUCAAUCUUAUCCUUAUAGCUGGCUAGCAAUGCAUUUUUUUAAUUUUUUUAAUGUUUUUAAUUGUUUUUGUCAUUUUCAAUAUUCUAAUGUAAUUUACAAUAUAAUUAAAAUCAAGAUUGAAUACACUAACUAUUUGGUAACGUUGGAUUUUAAGCUAUAUCUUACAAAGGUCAAAGAUUUAAAACACUGUUCAAAAUAAUGUUGGAGAAAAACAAUAACAUACCCUAAAAUAGUUUAUUUGCUUAUCCAUAUUUUUAAGUAUUACUAUGGGUAUCUCCUUACCUUUGGGUAAGGAACUAAUUAUUUUUGGGGUGUAUGACUGUCCUUCCUAACAACUAUCGCUCUCAGGAAUCGAAUCUUUAACAUUUUGAUUAAUUUGGACUAUGAAGGUUUGUGCCAAAUAUGCAUUACAUGACUCAUAAUUAAUUUACAUAAACUACUCAUUUUUUAUAUGAUAAAUAUGUUAUUGUGUUUUAUUCUUUUUGAAAUUUAUAAUGUUGUCAAUUAUUAUUAUUCUAUACAUAAAUUUGUUCCAUAUUUUAUUAAUUGUAAUAAUCAUUAUUUUAUAUUUAUUAUAUAAUUGGUGUGUGAUUGAAAUAAGACUCUCACUUAAAAUAAGACUCUCGCUUAGAGUGAAAAAUAUAAAACCGUUUAACGGAAAGUAUAUCGUAUUCUCUCACAAUUUAUAUGAAACGAUUUUUGUUCAAAAUUUAUUAUAAAAAUAUUAUUUAAUUAAAUAUUUAUGAUAUAUAAUGAAUGUUCAUUUUUAUUUUAGAGUAAAUUACACCGACACCCCCUGAAUUUUAGUGAAACUAUACAAACUACCCCUCACUUUUUUACACAUACACAAACCUCCCCUAAUUUUUAUACUUUCGUUACACUAAUCACCCCUGCAUAAGAAAUAAGUGUAAUAUUUCAAACAAAAAUAUGAUAAAUGCAAUUAAAUUAAACAAAACAUAGUAUAUUGUGGAGACAAGUCCAAAUAAUAUAUAAGUCAAUAUUUCUUUAUUGUUUUUGGUUCGUUACAAUAUAUUAUAACAGCGAUUUAAACAAUAUUUCUUUAGAAUUGUUGAUGCAUUUGUAACCAAAAAUAAUAAACAUAUAUUGAUUUGUAUAUUAUUUAGAUUUGUCUAUACAAUAAAUCAUUUUUUGUUUAACUUAAUUGCAUUCAUCACAUUUUUUGUUUAAAUUAUUACACUUAUUUCUUAUGCAGAGGUGGUCAGUGUAAUGAAAGUAAAAAACUAGGAGAGGUUUGUGUAGGGGUAGAAAAGUGAGGGGUGGUUUGUGUAAUUUCACUAAAACUCAGGGGGCGUCAGUGUAAUUUACUCUUUAUUUUAUGAUAAAAAAUUUUUGAUCUCUAAAUUUUCUUUGAACUUUGACAUACAAGCUUCAUAAUUAAGUUUUGACCCUAAUUUUUUCUCUGGCCGACCUACAAACCAUAAGGACUGGCACUGAAUCUGAUUUGCUAUUAGCUGCCAUUUGUUUUUGCAUUGAUUUAAAUGGCGUUAAUUUUAUUAACUGCAUUGAAUACAAAAGGUAUAUUAAAGUGUAAGGUUUUAAUUGCAUUAAUUAUGAUUAGGAAAGGUACACUGUUACAAACCAUAAGGAAGCUUGAUAAGAACUGGUUAAUGGUGGCCACGACCAACCUAGGUUUAGGAGAAACACUCUCAACUAAACACACUUUAAUUUUAAUCAAAUUCAACUUAACUUUUAUUAAUGAUCAAACAAAAUAUAAAUAAGCAAUCUCCUUUGCUGAAUGAACAAACUCUGAACAAAGAACUACAAGUAUUAUUACAUUUGUCACAUAUCAUUUCUAUAAACUCAAAAAAAUCACUAUUAUUCAUGUUAAAGGUUCUUGCGUGUAAUAAGAGAUAUGAAGGUUUUAAGAAAAUUUUGACGGUUGAAAACGUUCGUAACAUAUGUAUAAACAUCAUACUCAAAUAUCGUAAACAAUGAAUGGCAAGAUUUUCUAAAAGAUGAAGAACAAGCAUGAGAGUUUACCUUAUGUUCUUGAGAAAAUUCAAAGGAAUAAGAAGUGCAAUGUAAUGUAGAGCCAAGGGUUUCUCAAGGGGCUGUGCUCUUUUUAAAGUGUCAUUGUUUGGAAUUUUGAGAAGCAAGCCAAUGGUAUCAAGACGUUUUAUGGCUCUUUUAAGUGGAAUAAAUCAGAUUUAGGGAGAAUUGAAUCUGAUUUAUGGAGGGAAACGAAGGGUUUCCAAGAUUAAUGGUGCAAUGGGUAAAUGAAUGGUUUGAGGGGUUUAGUGUAAAAGAUGAGUAUUUUUGCUUGUUUGGCCAGCAAGUUUCACUCAGGAACAUGAGGUGAAUUUUUCUAAGAAACAUUCGCGAUGAGACCAUGCCUGAGUAUUGGCGGCUAAUACUCGGCUGGACGUUAAAAUCUUCUGAUUACGGUUAGAAUUUCAAAUGCUGAAUUCGGAGUAAAAAAUAUUUACAAAUGUAUUUUGGACAAACUUGAUGUCUAUCCUGACUUGAAAUAAUAUUUUGAAGCCAAUGGCGCAAUCAGAAUUCGAUUCCGAUCUACGGAACUCAAAAACACGUUUUUGGGCCGAAUUCGGGCGAAUUUGGGUUCGACAGCAGUCCAAAAACUUUUCAUCACAGAAAAAUACGAAAAUUUACCACAAAAUAGGAAUUUACAACACAAGACUAACAUUCAACUAUGGUUUAGCCUAAUUCAUUAUCGAUUAAUUUAUAAAAUUAAUAUUUAUUAAAAAUAAAUAACUAAUAAAAUAUAUCGAAUUUUAACGGUGUUAUACUCUCUAAAAAUAUGGUUGGCCAUAAUUUGCAUAGAUUUCAUGAUCUCUCUACAAUUGUUCAUGAAGUUGCUUAGCCUCCAAGGAACCUUUUUGCUGCCAUGAAAUAUGUCCUCCACCAUUGUAGAGUCACACUCCAACCAAGUAGAAUUCCAACCUUUUGAGUGAACAAUUUUCACUACCAAUAUUGCUGCAAGCAGCUCUACAUAGAGAGAAUUUUGAAUGUUAAAAUAAGAGACAAAACAGCCCAGAAAACCACCAUUACUAUCCCUGAAAAUUCCACCCCCUCUUACAUGUCUAGGACAACCAUGCGUAGCACCAUCCAAAUUAACUUUCACCCAACCUAUUGAUGGAACUUUCCACAUAACCUCAGAAAUCAUAGGAGCCCUGCUGUAGUUGCAUUUAAUAUUGAAGGCUGAUAAGUGCAAAAAGUAUAUACUUUUCACCAUCAUUUUAUGGCACUUAUCCUAUGCAAAUUGAGAAAACCCAACUUAAAAACAAUACUUUUUGGAUAAAAUAUCACAAUCUUGUAUAUUUGUGUUUGUAUUUCUCUUUAAUGUGUUUUGUAGGAUUUAGAAAGAAAAGGAAAAGAUAAUAAAGACUCAUGAUCCAAGAAGAAAAAGAAGUCAAACUCAAGGUGCUCAAGCAGGCAGCUUAGCGUGGACCAAGCUACACUUAGCUGACCUAGACACCAGUGUGGCACAGUCAGACCCAACCUGACUCAGUCAAACUAACCUGUCACAGACCAAGUUGCUGAAACAGGUAGCUUAGCGGACCUGCUUGACCGCUCAGCCUAGCACCAGACAAAGUCUGACACGGUCAGAAACACAAGCUUGGCACGGUCAGACACAAGCCCGGCACACGCCUAAGCUGCUCAAGUAGGCAGCUCAGCGGUGCCACAUGUGUGCUCAGUGGUGAACCAAACAGCUGACCAGGUCAGCAAGUACCAAGUCACGUCUCAGUCAGCACGACCAAAGCUGCUCAACUAGGCAGCUUUGCGGUGCCACAUAUAUGCUCAGCGGUGUGCACCCAGAAUUAACUUAGCCAUNNNNNNNNNNNNNNNNNNNNNNNNNNNNNNNNNNNNNNNNNNNNNNNNNNNNNNNNNNNNNNNNNNNNNNNNNNNNNNNNNNNNNNNNNNNNNNNNNNNNAAGUGACCAAACCCAUACUGAAGGGUUUGGUCAGCUGCUGAGCGGUGCAAAGAUGCAACUGAGCGCCCAACACCUUAGCCUAUAUACAGGCAUGAAAUUCUCAUUUGUAAACAUUGUACAUACAUUCUAAAUUCUUCCUAGUUUAUUCCUCUUCUUUCCUCCAUAUUUUCCUCUCAUUUUAGGUAGUUUUUAGGCUAGUUUUAGAGUAAUUUUUCAUGUAAUUCAAGAGGAGUAGGAGAAGGCAAAUGAGAUCUAAAAAUUCAUUUUGUAAUCUCAUUUGGAACUUAAAGCAUCCAAUCCUUGGAUGGAUGGCUCAUGCUCCUAACAAUUUCAUUUCAAAGUUGAUUAUGUAUUUCUUCUUCUUCGUCUUUUAUUCUAAAUUUGAAUUUUAAUCAUUCAAGUUGGUCCUUUGGCUAAUUUUAUUUUUUUGAGAAGUUCUUAAUGUUCUUUUUAGAUUGAUAACCUAAAAACCGAUUUCAAGUGAUGAAAAAUUACUUGUCUCAAACACUUAACAAAUAAACUAAAAUAUAGUUGUACUACUUAGUUUAUUUUCCAAGUUAAGCAUGCUUUUCUUAAGAUCUUAUAUUCAUUACUACUUCAAUAUUAGAGUAGCCAAGAUUAGGGUGUGACAACCUAGUCUCUUUGUGGACUUAGUAUUAUUUAGUAGUGAAUAUAAGUGAUCCUCCUUCUAUCAUUUUAGGACAUACACUAAAAGGAGGAUUUCAGACCUUGGUGUUUGGAGUUAAUCAACGUAAAACAUAAGAACUUGUCUAAGUAGUUCAAAUACAUAAGAAGUUGAGAAAUACUUUCAUCAUUCAAAAUGAUCUUGUCUCCUCAAGAAUUUGUUAAUACUUAGUUUAUAUUUCUUGUUAAGUGUUUAUGUGCAUAUCAAAUCAAAUCAAAAACAACCAAAAUAUGUUCACUCAUUAUUUGUGCAUUGAUAUAUUCCUAUGAUUCAUUCUAUUAGGCAAUUCCUUGUGGUUCGACAUAACCCUAUACUAUACUACAAUUGAAUCUUGAAAGAGGUGUAAAUUGUAAAAUAGUAAAGUGUUAUCAAUAAAUUUAUUUGUUGAAACACCUUUUAAUAUACAAAAAGUGAUGAAACUAACUUAUUAACUUUUAUUUAUUGUUAUUUACAUUCCGCAAUUUAUUUAUUCUUUAAUACCAACCUUCCUUAAGGAAGAAGUUUGGUUUGUUAACAAAAUGAACCCUAAAGGGAGUAAAUAAAUAAAGUUCACUUAAAUUUAUUAUUAUUUUCUUCUUUAUUUAUUUAUUUGCUUCUAACAACUGACUAUUCAUCACUUUUGUACAUUAGAAUACCAUUAAACCGGUGUUGGAAUUUAUUCCACAAAACCGAGAUGGUAUUCAAAGGUACUUAAUAAUGAUGUAAUAGAGAAUUGCUUCGAUACCAUUCUACCGGCGUUAGAAUCUAUUCUAACAAAACCGAGAUAGGGCAAAGAAGAAAUAACUUAUUCACAUGAUUAUUAGAAGUAAGUUGUAACUGGAAUAUUCUUGAAACCAUUAUACCGUCGUUGGAAUUUAUUUCAACAAAGCCGAGAUGACGAACAAAGAAUAAAACCGAGUUCACUUACUUAACCAAAUAAAGGAAACACACCGAAGAGAAAUCUCGCUUUCAACAAAUUGGCGCUGCUGCCAGGGACAAUUUGUUGAGGGGGAAAACCUCUAAAAGAUCCUUUCAACAAAGGCCUUCAACAAUAGAACUCUGUUAAGGAAUUUUUAGCACAGAUCUUGCUAAAGUUCGUAGUGAAAGCAGUGCCCACUUUAAUUCUUGUCAUUGCUUGGUAGAGGCUGAUUGCAAUGUCCUCAAAUCUAGACAUAUUCUUACAAUACCAAAUAGAGGAGAUUGCAUUUAUAAUGCAAGAAACCAACACGUCCUUAACCAAAGGACUCCAACUGUUAGAGAUUAGAAAGAGGCUAUUAAUUGAGGAAUUGUCCAAAAUACAACCAAUCUGGCUUCCUACCCAAAUCCAAAUAGCUCUAGAAAAAGUGCAAUUAAAAAGCAAGUGAGAAGAUGAUUCUUCAUUGGCCAUGCAAAGAUUGCAUAUGGAUCCCAUAGACAAUCCUCUAGCUUUUAAGUUCACAUCAGUUGGCAUUUUGUUGUUAUAAAGCCUCCAAGUAAGAAAGGAUUUAGAUGGAGGAAUUGCAACUGACCAAAUCAACUUGCACCAAUUUGGUUGGUUUGACAUUGAUUUGGUGAAUGGGUAGGCCUCUUUCAUAGUAAGUAUGUCAUUAGUAGAAUGCAUCCAAGCUAACUUGUCUAUUUGGUUGGCAUUAGAAAUAGGCAAGCUGAUUAUAGAGUUGCAAACCUUAGGAUGCAACCUUGCUAACCAAGAAGGAAUUAUCCCGGAAGAGUCUUGAAUGAAGUUAGCCACCCUAGCCAGUAAAACGAUGAAGUUUGAGCUGGGAUGCCAAGAUAGUCAGCUAAAGGAUAGCCAAGCAAAUUAUCCAUCUAAUAGUUAAUUUGAUUACCAUUUCCCACCAACUAGAUUGAAUUCUAGUGACCAAGUGCCAAAACUUCUUGAUUCCAGGCCAAACAGAAGACUUAGUAUAAGAUGUUGUAGGUCUUAAACCUCUACAAAAUCUAUUCCUGUAAAAAAUAGCCCAAUCAUUAGAGGAGGAUUUCAUUUCCCAAGCAAGAUUUAGAAUUGAAGCUUGAUUCAUAGUUGUGAUUGAUCUUAUCCCAAGCCCUCUCCUUAACAGGAGUGCAAACCUUAUGCCAAGCUACAGUUACUAGUUUUUUAACUUGAGUGUCUCGAGACCAAAUGAAGUUUCUAAUGCAGCUAUCCAUCCUCCUUAGCAGAUUGACAUGCCAAUUGUAAACAUGAAUGCUAUAUAUUAACAUGCUAUAGAUGAUAGACUUAACAAGCUCAACUUUGGCCAUAAUUGAGAGGGAAGAACCUUUCCACUUAGCCAACUUGUUCACUAUUUUAUCAGUUAUAGGUUGUAAGUGGAUGGCUUUAGGCUUUCCUUUGAACAAGGAAACUCCAAGGUAAGUGAAAGGCAAAAGACCAGCACCAAAGCCCAACCAGUUUUUAAGAUUGGUUACUUUCCUUGCAGAAGCUUGAGUAUUGUAAAACUUGCAUUUAUUAAGAUUUAGUCUUUGCCCUGAGACUUGAGCAUAAUUUGUGAACAAUCCCUUGAGAGCCAACAACUCUCUUUUGAUUCCUUUGCAAAAAAUUAAAAUGUCAUCAUCAUAGAGCACAUCACUUGGAGUAUGAAUUCUAGGACCUGAGAUUGUGCUAAUUUUUUCACUUAGAAGCAACUUAGUUAUCCCUCUGCUCAGAACAGUUUAUAAAUUUAAAGUGUUAUGAAGUCUUAGAUGGUAAAAUGAUUUAAAAAUGUUGAAUCUUAGUUAAGUGAACUUACUUUAAAAUGGUAAGAUUUACUUGAAAUAAUGAGAAAAUGAGUGUUUUAGCUCAGGGCGAGACAACUCUCACUUGAGCUAAAAUAGGCACCAAGAGAACUAAUUGUUUUCUUGCUUAAGUGAGACAGCUCUCGCUUAAGCCACAAAUGCCUCAAAAAUGGAUGUGCCCUCGCUUGAGCGAGAGGGCUCCAUACAGACAUGACUUCUUUUUAAGUCGUCUGAAUGAUAACUCCCAUAUAUACGAGUGCCUAAUGGCAUGUUUGCCAUCAAGAAGUUGUAAAGGUCAAUAACUAUAUGAAAUUCUUGAAAGUAAUAAAAGUAAGGAAUUACUUUGUUAAAGGCGAGGCCCGAGGGUGUGAUAUUAUGCCCACACAACGAGAUCGUUUGACCAUAAGAGGCUUGGCUAGAGGAGUCGUCCAGGAUGAUUUAGCGAUGGUUCGCAGUGGCACUGAGAAGUAUUAUGUUGUGCCCAUGCAGCGAGAUCGUCUGACCGUAAGAGGCUUGGCUUAAUAGUCGUCCACGAUAAUUUUGCGAUGGAUUCGUAGUGGUGCUGAAAUUAUUCUCUUUUUGUUUAUGUGUUAAGAUCGUCUCCCACUAGAAGCAUUCCCGAUGGGAGAUGUCUUAAGAUGGGCAGAUCGCUAGAAAAGAUGGAUUAAAAGACAUAAUUUGCUAAUUUCGGUUAGGGUGCAUAUCCAUGGUCAAAAAUGAAGUAGUCGAGAGGAAAUGUACGGGAGACGAAUGAGCCCCGAGAUGUUGACAAUGUUGAUGGUGGUGAUUCAUCAGUAAAGUCUUAAGGGAGAGUCUAGGUUAGACGAGUCCCAUGUAUUCCUAGAUGAGGUAUUCUGUUGGAUCGGAUAGUGCUCACAGCGCAAACUAGAUGAUCUCUGACAACCCCUCUUUGCAAUCAGGAUCGAUGAGAGGGAUGCCCAGAAAGUGUUUGAUACGAUAUCGUCCUGAAAUGGACAGUUCCGUUAGAUCAGAUCGAUCAUAUAUCCUUGCAAGGAAUAAUUUUGGUGCGAUCAAAUCGGCUUGUUAUGGGAUCUAUACUCUCGGUUAUUUCCGAAUAGUUGUUGGGAGGAUAAAGGAGUANNNNNNNNNNNNNNNNNNNNNNNNNNNNNNNNNNNNNNNNNNNNNNNNNNNNNNNNNNNNNNNNNNNNNNNNNNNNNNNNNNNNNNNNNNNNNNNNNNNNUCGAGUUUUAUACUUCAUUCAUCGUUAUUAUAUGCUUGUAUGAUCACAUGAUAUAUAUGUACUCGUGUAUUGUCUUGGUGCAUUAUCACGUGUUAUUCCACGACGUCGAUGACAAGUUUUUCAUAGAUGUUUUACUCCCUCUCUUUUCUUCUAGUGUAUUUGUACGCAUGCUCAUAUGGACCCAUCAGCACUAAUCUGAGGUUAUCUUUUCACUAUGUCCCAGGAGGGGACAUGGAGUGUUGAGGGUAAUCGACACACUUACACAGGUCCUUGCGACCUGGAGCUGGAUUGGGUAAGCAAUGGCUCAGUUCUGCAUCUUCCACCUUACUACGCAGAUCGGGAGGCAUCAUUCACUUUGCUCGACCGAAGACCUGCAACCGCCGGACUUUUUAUACUAGCUAAAGCUCGAGGCAUACCAGAAGUUGUUAGGACCUGGCCCCAAACAGGAUUCUCAUCAUCAGGAUCAGCGCCAAGAGAGAUAGACGGGGCCAUGUCAUGGGGAUACAUCCCGGACCCCUCGAUGGAUUGGGGAGCGGAUGAAGUGGAGGAGGAGGAAGAUAACGACAACUGAGUAGAGCUUAUCUGCAUAGAAGAUUCAGUUGAGGUCAUUGAGAUCUCUUCUGACUUGGAGGUGGAGGAAGACCCUAGCGAGGCUUCUAGUGGACCUCCGGUUUAGGAUGUUUAUCUUUUGUUUUGUUAUGAUAGGAACCUGUGUGAGGUACUUUAUGUAAUGUCAAUGCCCCGACAUUUUUUCUUUGUAUUUUUAGUUUUUUUUAUUUGUGGCGAUGAUUAGAUUUCGCCCUGUAAACAAUUCUGUAUUUAUUCAAGAAUUUUAUGAAUGAGAAGUAUUCAGAAAAGAAUUGUGUUCAUUUAAUUAUCUUCAAUGUAUUAAGAAUUUUAUUUUCGCAAGGUUUGAAAAUGUGACGUGUUGAAAAUGGAAUAAGGUAAAAGUGAAAAUGAUUUAUAAGUUAUAGGUUACAUAAAAGAAGAAAAAAAAGGAAAGAAAAUAUUACCCACUCCCUCAGUCACCAUGAAGUGACACUUCUCCCAGUUCAGUACCAGGUUUGUCUCAACACAUCGUUCCAGAAUGAUGUCCAGAUUUGUCAAGCAGCUAUCAAAUGACGACUCGAAGAGCGAUAAGUCGUCCAUAAAAACCUCAAUGCAUUGUUUCACAAGAUCAGAAAAAAUAGCUAACAUGCACCUCUGAAAUGUUGCCAGUGCAUUGCACAGUCCAAAUGGCAUCUUCCUGUAUGCGAAGACACCAAAAGGGCAAGUGAAAGCUAUCUUUUUCUGGUCUUGGGGAUCCACAAUGAUUUGGUUAUAGCCUGAAUAUCCAUCCAAGAAAUAGUAAAAUUCUUCUCCCACCAAUCUCUCAAUCAUUUGGUCCAUGAAUGGCAGAUGCAAGUGAUAUUUGCGAGUAGCAUGGUUCAGUUUCCAGUAGUUAAUGCACAUACGCCAUCCAGUGACUAUUCUGGUCGGGAUUAAUUCAUCCUUUCCAUUCAUAACCACAAUCAUAACCCCCUUCUUUAGGACCACCUAAAUAGGACUAACCCACUUACUAUCAUAUAUAGGAUAAAUCAUCCCAACAUCUAAUAGUUUCAUCAUUUCCUUCUUCACCACUUCCUUCAUAGUGGGAUUAAGUCGCCUCUGAGGUUGCGCCACUAGUUUGUAAUCCUCUUCCAUAUGGAUCUUAUUCAUUCAAUAAGAUGGAUUGAUUCCAUGCAAACCAGCCAGUGUCCACCCUAUCGCCCCUGCAUUCUUCCUCAGCACCCCAAUUAACAAUUGUUCUUCAUCCCAUAAAAGGGCACUGCUUAUGAUUACCGGUUUCUGUCCUCCUUCUUCUAAGAAUACAUACUUCAAAUGUGAAGGAAUUACUUUCAAAUCCACCUUUGGAGCCUCAGGUGUCUUCUCUUUUCCCAGCUCUUCAAAGUGAUUCUGAUUAGAUACAACCUUGCGGGGUGCAUCUAACUCUGCCAAACAUGUUUUGAUCAUCUUGUCCUCCUCCAUACUAUAUCCUUCUAGAUCUCCCCUCAAAACCUUCUCCAAAUGACUACUCAUAUUCAAGUGAAUGUCAUCGAGCAUGAAUAAGUCUUCAAUGACAUCCACUCGAAAGCAGUGUUGUUUGUUCCUCGAAUGCUGCAUAGCCUCAAAAACAUUAAAAUUCACCUCUUGGUCUUCAACUCUUACCAUUAACUUUCCAUCAUCAACAUCAAUAAUAACCUGAGCAGUCUUCAUGAAAGGUCUGCCCAAAAUAAGAGGAACUUCCUUAUCCUUUUCAACAUCCAUGAUGGCAAAAUCCAUGGGAAAGACCAACCCAUCUACCUUCACCAAAACAUCCUCUUCAACUCCAUAAGAAUACUUUACAGAUCUAUCAGCAAGUUGCAAGGUCAUCCUGGUAGGCUUGAUCUCCAAAUCCCCAAUUCUUUUCAGCAUAGAAAGGGGCAUCAAAUUAAUGUUGGCACCCAGAUCAAGCAGUGCAUUUCCCAAAGAUAAUUCACCAAUAGCGACUAGAAUAGUGAAGUUGUCCUAAUCUUUAGUCUUCUCAGGAAAAGACUUCUGAAUGAUAGCACCGCACCCAGCUUCUAAGGUCACUAUCUCUUCUGAAAACUUUCUUUUCUUUGUCAACAAGUCCUGCAUGAAUUUAGCAUAAGCAGACAUUUGUUCCAUCGCCUCCAUGAAUGGAAUGUUGAUCUAGAGGUUCUUGAAUAAAUCCAAGAACCUAGCAUAUUGUUGCUCCUUAUAUUUCUUGGAAGGUCUCUUUGGAUAAGGGAGAUCAUUCGACUGAGGUAGAUCACUCUUCCUCUUAUCACUGUUCUCUCAUAUAUCAUCCUCAUUAGUGACAGCCCCUUCCUUAUCUUGUACCACUUCACCCUUCUGUGUCUCUCUGAUUACUUUCUCUGAUCUUCCAGCUUCAGUAUCUCUUAGAACCUCAUCCUCAACAGCCAAGUUCUCACUAGUACCCUUACCAAUGACCUUACUACUUCUAGUAGUGGUAGAUUUGUAGUGUUCUUUUGGAUUGCUUUGAGUGUUGGCGGAAAAUUGUUGGCGAUCUGAGUUUUGUUAUGCCAUUUGCUUAGCCAACUGACCCACCUGAGUCUCCAAGUUCCUGAUAGAAGCAUCAGUAUUUUUUUGGUUUGAAAUAGAGGCUUGCAUAAACUUCUCCAAUGUUUCUUCCAACUUUUUUUGCCUCUCAUAUAACGGAGGAUGUGGGUCUUGCUGAUAAGAUGGUUGAUAUGGUGGUUGUCUGUUAGAUGGUCAUGCAUCCUGCCUCCACCCAAAAUUCUGAUUCUGGUUCUGGUUUCUCCUCCAACCCUGUGAAAACUGAUUGUUGAAUGAAGGGUUGUUAGGGAAAUUAGCCUGAUGAGGUUGAUUGUUAACAUACUGGACCUCUUCUGAUUGUGUGUUGGAAGGCACUGAGCAAUGACCAGUAACAUGAUCACCCCCACAAAACUCACAGUGUAGCACCUGUUGAUAAACAUAAGGAGUCUGUACCACAUUCAAUUGUUGAGGCAACUUGGACAUUUGCUUUGUAAGUGCCUCAAUUUGUUGUGUCAGAAUUUUUAUCUGAGCCAUAAUGGCAUCAGAAGUAUUCAAGUCCAACACCCCUCUCUUUUUUAUUGUCCUUCUAUUAUGUUGAGCCUCCCGAUCUAUAGCAGAUAAUGCAGUAAUAAUUCUGGUGGCUUGCUCAGCAUUCACUGUCAUCAAGGUGCCACCAGCUACGGCAUCCAAUAUCAUCUUAGUCUAUGGCUUCAACCCAUUACAAAAGAUAUUUAGUUGGUCAACAUCUUCAAUCUCAAGCCUCAUAAAAAGCUUCCUCAACACCUUGUCUGAAUGUUGAGAUUUCAAGCUUUGCAUGCACAUACCUCGUCGGAGGGAAAAAUCUUGUCAAGAACUUUGUUUCCAAAUGACUCCAAUUGGUCAAGUUUUGGGUUGGGUAUGAUUUUAGCCAUUCCUUAGCUUCAAAAAGGAGGGAAAAUGGAAAUAGCAUCAUGUAUGUAGCUUCCUUCUCAGUGUCAGAGUACCCCACAGUGGCCACCAGCUCAUAGAAAUUAUCCAAAUGAGCAUAUAGAUCUUCAUAAUCCUUCCCCUUAACUGAUGAGCAUUGAUUAGAUUCAGAUAUGCAGGCUUGAUUUCCAUUGUCUUGGCGAUGUGUGGAAUCACGAUGCUAAAGUAGUGUCGAGGACCUUGAUACAUAGCAUAAUCUCCUAAUGUCCUCCUUGGAGGAUUAGGCCUUGGGUUAUUAUCAGCAGCUUUAUUGGCAUUCUCCAUCUUCUCUGACUGAGAUUCUGAAACUAUAGGAACUGUAGCCGGUUCAGAGCUACACUAUGCUUCCUGAGGACCUUGUUGUCUCUUCUCUUUUGCUUUCUUCCGGUUACUUUUAGCAGACUUCUCAAUCUCUGGAUUGUAUUGUAGUUGCUCUUCUUUAGAUUUACCUCGCAAAAGCAUAAAUAAGAAGACUACAGCAAAGGUUAGCACAAGGGUUAACACUAUACUACAAAGAAUUAAAGAAUAACUAUGUACAAAACUCAAUAAACUCUAUAAAGAACUAAUGUAAAUCUCUCAUUGCUCCCCGACAGCGGCACCAAAAACUUGUUAGAUAUUUAUGGAAUGACAAGCGUACUGUAUCGUCUAAGUAAUAAAAUCCGGUAAAAUAUCGAGAUAUCGUCCUUAUGGAGCAGACUAGAUUUACACUAAUUCCUACAAGAAUAAAUUGAGAAUAUAUUUAUAAUGAUGUUUUUAUAAAAUUUUGUAUUUGGUUGUGAAAAAUCAUAAAUUGAACGAGAAACAAUUAAAAUAAACUGGGAUCGAAAUGCAUCGUUCUUUCCCAUUGACAUCCAUGGAUUCAAUUCCAAGUGACUUCUGUAGUUACUGAAUCAGAUGCACAUAUCAUUCAAAUCAUUCACAUCAAUCCAUUGAGUGUAAAAUCCUUAGAUAAUCACUCAAAUACCAAUUCCUUGGAUAUUUGACCAAUUAACUUGCAUUAAGUUCCAUGUAAAAGCAAUUCAUGCAUCAUUGUUCAUUCCUAGAGCAAUGAUUAUGAAGGAAGAUGAUCUAGGUUCGGUAUCAAGUUUAACUUCCCAAUUAAACUUGAACCCAAGAACAAGAAAUUAGUAGCAAAGUAAAUUCAUGCAUUAAGAACGGGAUGAACUUCCCAAAAUCAAAUAACAAUUACAACAGAAUCGAAUCCAGGAGUACAAAGGUUAGAAGAUUACAUUUCGAAACCCAGAGCAAGAUCUAAUCAUUCCUUCUCGCUAUUACAACGCCCGAAUCAUGAAAUUAUACAAGGCAUAAUGCGAAGUAGAAUCGUUUCCACGAUUUCUAUCCUAACCUCCCUGUGUUUCUCUCUAUUUUCAUGCUAAAGAUGCUUUAGAAGUGUUCAACAACCUUCCCUGUUUUCCAGAACUGCCUAUAUCAAGUUCCAAUUACUACCCUCUCGCUCAAGCUGAGGAUUCUCGCUUGAGCGAGAGAAAGUACCCUUCCCUCGCUUGAACACCUCGCUUGGGCGAGGGAGAAACAAUGGGCGUUAGGUUUUUGACCUUCAAUUGGUGCUUGGGCGAGGGGUGUCAGUAUUUUCUAGUGAUUUUUUUCUCAAUUAUGGCUUGAGCGACCAUUCCCUCGCUUGGGCGAGGCUUGUGUUGUUCAGAAAUUCAUUAUUCUCUUUUUUUUCUCCUUUGUUCAUCAUUUCUAAACCUACAAUAUAAGAUUAGCUAAGUUAUUGGAAAUUGUAUGUAAUGACAACAUAAUUACGCGCUAAGUGCCCCAAAAGCAUAUUAAUUUCCUUAACAAUUUGGCACUUAACAAACUUCCCCCAACCUAGAAUCUUGCUUGUCCUCAAGCAAAGUAACAAAAUGCAGCUCAGUUCAAAGUAUCUGAUUUUUCAAAAAUAAUCAUUCAUCCAAUCAUGGCAUAGCUAGAAUCAUUCAUUUACCAUUCACAAAGACAUGUUUCGUGAUCAAUCAUAGUGGACCAAGUUCCAACUAAUAACAGAAUGCACAGGCAGUUCAAUUUCAAACAGAAUAGCAAGAAUAACUACUCAGUUCAAUCAAAGGAAAUGCUUACGCGGAUAGAUUGGCAAAGUUUGGAAUAUCAUCAAAAAUUACACUUGGUGGAACUCGAUUCCUACUUUUAUACAACAUGAUUGCUAUAGAAAUUGGUUGUGUCUUCCUAAUUCACAAACUUGUAAUAGUUUUCCUCUUGUACUUGAUCUAAUGUUGUUAAUCUACUUGUUCGGUGCUUAGGCACUUUUGCUUUAAAAAAAAGUGUGGUUCUUUAAAAAAUUAUACAUAAUGGAUCAACUUCUCUUACAUGUUUAAAUGAUGAUAUUGCUUAUAAUAACAUGACCUCAUUUGAGUUCAUAAUCAUUUUACACUUCAUCAAAGAAAUUAUAUAUGUAUUGAUAAUAUAUACUCUAAUGAUACUUAUAAGUCAUUUAAUAUUGAUAAUAUAUAAAAAAAUUUGUCCAAAAUUUCUAUUCAAUGAGUUUCAACGAGCAAUGAAGAUUAGUUUGAGAUCUCAAUAUUAAUAUUUUAUUAUUGGUCUCUUUAGCCAUUCAAGUUUGAAACAAUUUCUACUGUAUGUCAUUAGUUAUAUCUUGCAUUGUUAAUUAUUUCGUCUUAUUUUAUAUAUUGUGGUUCAUCUACUAUAUAAAUAUAAUUUUCGACAAUGAAAUCAAUUAAACAAAAUUACAUAGUAACAUAGAUGAUGAAUUUCUUGCAGAUAACAUAGUGAUUUAUAAUGAACAAGAAAUAAUGAAAUUUUUUAUCUAUGGUCUCAUCAUAUAUGCUUCUCUAUAUUUUCAGUAUUCAAUUAGUUUAAUUAUAAAUUGUAAUUAAAUAUUAUUCUCCCUUAUAAAAAAAUUUAUCAAGACCUGCCACUAAUGGAGGGUGAAUUAAUAAAAAGUGCUCUCUUUCAUUUCACCUUUUCUUUAAAUGUCUACGGUUUUAUUCUUAUCGUAGUUAUAUUAUGCAGUUAUACUAUUUUUAUAGUUGUUUUUAUAAGGUAUUUUAUAUUUUUAUGAGUCAUAUAUUAUAAUUCAUUUGCCUAAUUAAAACUUUUAUUAUCUUUAGUUUUUUUGUCAUUAAUGAAAAAUAUUUUAAUCUUAUAAUAUAUAUAAAAAACAAGAAAAAUAACUAUUUUUUAUAUUUGCAAUUUAGAUGCAAGUGUUUUUAUAAUAUUCAAUGAAUAUACAUUUUAAGGUUGUUUCUAAUAUAUCCGCUGUAUGCAUAGGAUAAAGAAACCUAAGAAGCAUUCCUUUCAUUCUAUAAUAACAUUUAUUAUCAAGGUUUAUUCAAACUUUUUCGCAUAUUAUCAUAUAGCUUUUAUUAGUUAAUUCUAUUUUCUUUUGUAUAAUAACAUUUAUUAACAUAUAUAUUUUAUUAGUUAUUUCUAUUUUCUUUUGUAUUGAGAAAUAAAAAUUGGUUUUUAGUCAAAAUAAUAAAAUACUCCUUAAUGAUACUUUAAUAUUUAUACAUUAAUCUUAAUUAAAAAGAUUAUGAAAAUGAACGGCCAAAGUUGAUUAGAAAUUAAAACUUAGUUCUUAAACACUACUUCAACAUCAAUUAUUAAUAUAAAUUUUUACAGUAAUAUAAUGGAACAUCAAUUAUUAAUAUUUAUCCUUCCUAACAUGUUGACCUGCACUCCGUGUUAGUUACCCGCAUUCUUAUUUUUUCUGAUAUAGAAUGUAUCAUCUUCAUCUUAUAUUGUUUAAGAAAAAACAAUUUAAAUAAAAGAAAUAUAUAUAAACUCAAUAGAGAGUGAAAAUUUAAGAAAAUAACAUGUGAUAGUUGAUAUAAUAUACAUAAAAUUUAUGAGAAUUUCUCAUAUUGUGCCUCUAAUAAUCAUUAUAGAGUUGUUAUGUGAAUUUCUCAUUUUGUGUGUUCUUUUUGUCUUGAGAAGAGAGAAGAUAGAAAUUAGAUAAAGUGUGGAAUAUUAAUGAGGUGUUAAAUAUAAAAAAUGAAAGCAAUGAAAAUAAUGUGUGAAAGUUUACAGUAGUUAUUAAUAAUACAAAAAAGUAAGUUUGAAAUAUAAAAAUUAUGUCAUGGUGGUGGUUAUUACUUGUUUUCCCUUUAUUAAUUGUAUAGAAGUAUAGAAAUAGUAUCAUCUUCAUUUAUAUUGUUUAAGAAAAAAAAUUAAAUAUAAGAAAUAUAUAUAAACUCAAUAGAGAAUGAAGAUUUAAGAAGAUAACAUGUGGUAGUUGAUAAGAUAUACAUAAAAUUUAUGAGAAUUUCUCAUUUUGUGCCUAUAAUAAUCAUUAUAGAGUUGUUAUGUGAAUUUCUCAUUUUGUGUUUCUUUUUGGGUUGAGAAAGAGAGAAGAUAGAAAUAAGAUAAGGUGUGGAAGAUUAAAGAUAUAUUAAAUAUAAAAAAUGAAAGCAGUGGAAGUUUAUAGUAAUUAUAAUUAAUACAAAAGAAUAAGUUUGAAAUAUAAAAAUUAUGCAUUGGUAGUGAUUAUUACUUAUUUUGUCUUAUUAAUAGUAUAGAUAUAGAUUAAUAAUAUUAUAAAUAUUUACUAUUUUUGUACGAUUAAUUAAAUAAAAUUGUAUCAUUAUCUCUCAUUUAUUACUUUUGAUAUAUUAUGGGCAUUAAUAUUACUAAAUUUGGUCCAAUCAUGGGCUCAUUCAAGUUAUUUGGUCAAUAGUUCAAUUAUUAGGUCCUAGUUGGACUAAUUAAAUUGGUUUAAUUAAAAAAUAUUUAAAAACUAUUUUUUACACUAUAUAUAAAUGGAAAGUAUGGUGUAACUACCCAUUGGGUAAUUUUUGUUUUCCUAUUUUGCCCUUAACACUUUAAUUUCUAGAAGAAAUCAUAUAAUCAUAUGUAAUCACUAAAAACAUAAUAAUCACCCUCUCACAUUCAUUUAACAAUUAAAAUAAAGACAAAAAUAUAAUAUAAAGUAAACUCAAUAAAGAUUACAAUAUAAAAUUCAUUCAAUACAAAAAAUAUUAUGAUUCACCAAAAUAAAAUAUAUAAAACUUAAAAUAUUUGAUACCAGAAAGUAAAAGUAUAGGUUGUCAGGUACAAAGUAUAUAUCGUCACAGUAGUAAUAAUAACUAACAUUAUUAAAUUACUAUGAGAUGAGUACAUAAUGAAGCAAUCCUCAAAGAAGAUUUUACUGAAAUAAAAUAUGAGAAACAAUUCGAAAUAUUAUCAAACAAUAUAAGCUCAUCGACAGGACUCUGUUUGUGGGAGUUUCCUCCGGAAGGAGCGAUUACUAUUUUAAUAUGGAUCUCUAGAGUUAAUUUGUUUUAUUUUUUCCAAUGUACCAAAAAAUAUAGGCUUUACAUUUUAAUCACAACAAAAGCAGACAAAUAAGAGUAAAGCUUAAUUAAACAACUAUGACAUUGUUACAACAUAAGCUAAUAAAUGAGAAACAAAACUCUAAUAGCGAGUAUAAAAAAUAAUUUGAAAGUAUGAGAUUCUAUUUCCUCCAAAGAUAAUUGUAAUCUCUGACUACGAGUCCUGAAUCUUACACCAAAUAAAAGUAUAGAUAUUUGCUUUUAUUAUCAGUGGGAGAAAAUUAUAUAUGCACAACAUAAAAAGGAAGAAUAACAAAAGUAGAAAAGGGAAGUUUAUUAAAAUCUUUUGAUCAUCCUCCAACUUUAUUCUCAACCAACACUACAUAGGAGUAAUAUAUAUGAGAUACUCAUAAUUUAAACAUUUUAUUUGUGAGUUGGAGUACAUGAUUUUAAUAACUUGCUAUCCAAGCAUAGGAACCCGCUUAACAAAUCCGUCAUCAUCAACCCAAACCCAGACUCUGUCACAUAUGAGGUCAGGGAUAACUAAGACAUUAUGCACGAUCCUAACUUCUCGGACGCGAGGAUUCUCUUUCUUAAUAAUACUCACUGCCACUUCUCCUUUCACUCCAAC